rnacentral:lncRNA from 1 species
UUUUUUUUUGUGCUGCCCAUACUGGCCGGCCCCACCCACUGACAGCCUUUGCUCGUUUUUGUCCCGUUCUCUUCCCGUGUUGAAAAGCUGCGAUCUUUCCACGUUUGGGAGCUGACCCCAGCCGAUGAGCAGAAAAGCCGCCUUUUCCCACGGCCGAAAUGGCUUUACCGCGUCAUGCGUGCAUGCCCCCGGGGACUUUCGAGUUUGAGUUUUAGAAUUUAGCAGUGAGCAAGGGUUAUGUCUGUGGUAAAAAUGUGCCAGGUGGUGCAGGCUGCGGCAGCAGCAGGCUUUGGCCUUUGGGUACGGCAUGGCAUCCGAUGCCUGCAGCCAGCUCCAGUACAAUCGCUGCAUUGUACUCUCUAGUAGUACAUGGUAUGCGGCGUGUAUAUGCAGUGUACGCUGGCUGUGUCCAUUUUCGUCGAGGUGAAAUGUACGUACAAAGUUUUGGUCGUAGAACCUGCACGCGUCAGUGCUUGCACUACAGUUGUACGUGUAGGAAUGUACUCUUCUAGCUCGUGGUGAACACGACAGGCUUACGAAGCACACGACGCUUGCCGGUGAGACGUGAAAGGACUGAAAAUGCAACCAUGGUGGCACGGUCCAUGGCCCAUGGUGAAAGCCAGAUAGAAAUAGAGAGAGAUGGACGGACGGAACCCUUUCCUUCCGUCUUUCCGCCGCGGAUUCGGCCCCCGGACGCUCAAACCGCCAAAACCGAACCUUUCCCGCCAAAACUUGGCGCCAAAAAUGCGCGCCGCCGCCAGCCGCCCAGGCCCAGCCGGGCACGUGCGGCGCCGGAAGCUGGGUCAAACGUCCACUCAUUCCUCGCGUACCUUCCCCAUGAUGGCACCCCCGCCGCGGCUGCCCCGACGUGCGGGCCACCCACCUAGUCAGGGUCACGACGGGUAGGACUCUCCGUAUCUGUAUCUCUGGCCGCGAGCGCCACCUGCGGGCCCGCCUGGACGGAGCCGCCAGUGCGGUGGUCGGGCCCACGCGGCAGGCAGCCGGAGAGCGUGGACAAGCACCGGCGCAGCCGCGCAGGCGAGGGCGACGGAGACGGAGCCCGAGGCGCUCGAGAAGGUAAAAGAAAGGCGCCCCUCUGCGCGGUGGGACCGCAAGCCCCUCCUCGUUUCACGGGUACCUGCAACCUGCUGCCUGUGUCUCUUCAGCAUCCGAGGAGGAACAGGUCGCGCCCUACCCUACUGUAUCUGUAUUUUCUCAUGUACUUGACGCGCCCUGUGUCCCCUGUUCCUCCUUGGGAGAUACGUACUCCAUGUCGAGUGCUCGUAUACUCAUGCAACAGCCGUCCAAUUGCUUGUAAAUUUCUCUCGGAAGCAAAACCGUUGCGUACAGCUACAGUCGUAUGAGCCGGCAGUGCUGUAGAAGGUGAAAGAUGAGGCAGGGAGCUAGGGAGAGUCCGAGAAGCAGGAGUGCCCGUGGCGAGUGCGCUUGGCCGCUUGCCUUUUCUCGUUCCAGGGACCAGUGGAUUUGCAGUUUGCACAGCACAGUAGGAGUAGUAUAGCAAGAUCAGGGGCGCACGCGUCGCGAGGCUCGUGGACCGAUCGCCUUGGAGUGCGCAGAGUCCAGGGGCGCUCCCGCCGUACGUGCGCGCCGCGUAAAAACACUUGGAAAUUGCCGUGCCCCGCGCGCGCCACGGGCCACCGCGACGGCGCCGUAUUGCCGGCCAAUCACCCGUCCACGCGCGCUGCCGGCUGCCUGCCGCCGCCUCCUCCUUUCGCUUUUCCGAUGGAUGGAGCUCACCUCGCGUGGCGUCGCCCCAUUGCUCGUGCACCUCCAAUGGGAUCAAGCACGUCGUCAUCGGCUCAUCGCCGAGCGGCUCGACGAUCGCGGACACCGAGAAAUUCCUAACGGGCAUCGUUGUUCCUUGCCGGUGGAACCGAAUCGCUCUGCGGGCAUCGGCGAGCAACCACGGUUGAUUGGUUGGUCGUCGUCCUGCGGCCUCGCCGGCCCGGCUCGGCGACUGGCGAAGCCUGCGCCGAGGGACGGAGCAUCCCGACGUUUUGUUGGUGUUCUGAAAAGGCUGGCUGGCUUGCUCUGGGAUUUUCAGCUGCUUCCUUAUCGUCGUCUGAAAAGGAAUUGAUUCGUCCGGCAGGCUGCAGCAAAUGACCGGAACGGAUGGAGCGAUUCAGAGUUUCAGUACGAUGGAGGAUAAUAGUGUAGUGGCAUCCUUCAAAGAAUCAAGGUACUGUCGUACAGACAACUGAAGAGCACUCGGACAGGAGAAUCUUAGAAAAAAUGUUUCUUGGGUUGAUUUGGUUUUUGGGGCAUUGAAAAUGGUGAUACCACGUCACAGUGCGUCACUGCAAGUUGCGAACAACGCUUGUUAGUAGUGUCAGUGAGACGGUGACACUCGGUCGCUCAUCUGAAAUUGGCAGACUCGGCUUACCACAGGCUUCUGUACAUGGGCUGUGUUAAAUAAAAAAGCUGGGCCCUUCGCGGUGGAUCGACAAACGCAAAUAGGCUCUGGUGGGUUCAAUGUAUUUCGGAAAUCUUGGGCCUCUAAUUGGGCUGAGAUCAGCGUCAACUCUUAAACCAUGAAUAUUUUCCAUUUUUUUUUCAAGUACACGCCCCGUCGGCUUCGCCGGCCGCGCCAUCCGCCCAACGGCCAGUCAGGCAGUCACCGCGCGCCGCUCGCGGCCAAACCUCUCGCUCUCGGCUGCCUCCGCCGCUCCGCCCCCGUCUCCCCGCACGACCAAAAACCCCACCGCUACCUCUCCGCCCCUUCCCCACUAUGGUCUUCGCCGUGCCGCCGCGAUGGGGAGGCUGUGCGGCAGCGGCGGCAGGAGGCCGCCUCCCUUCCUCUCCCCCUCCGCUUCAUUCUCGUCGUCGUUGCACUCCAAGCGCUCCCGCCCGUUCCGCCGCCUCCCGUCCCUUCCCAAGCCGCCCCUCGCACCGCCGGCGCCGCAUUUCGCCGGGAGGAGGAGGAAUAAGGCGCCCGCCCGGCUGUGGAUGAGGAUGGAUCGGUGGGGCGGCUGCGAGGUGUUCAUGUGCGACAAGGCCUUCGUCGUGGAGCGCUCCGGCGUGCACACGCGCGAACUCCGCGUCAUCGGACCCCUUCUCUCCCGCUACCCCAGCAUCCUCGGUGAGUUGAUGACUUGAUGCUCUCAGAUUUUGGAUCCGUGCCUUGCACAAAAAUAAAUAGUGUGGCACAGGUCAUUGGUCCAUUAAUGUGUAAUGAUAAUAUGAUAUCCUCGUUCUAGCAUGUCGUGGAGUGUUAUUCGUAGAAAUAUUUUAGCAUAUCAUGAGUCAUAUUUGUUACUGGUGAGAUUAACCUUAGAUUUUGCCUGUUUGGCAGCUAGAGAGAAGGCUAUGGUAAUCAAUCUAGAGUUCAUAAGAGCUAUUGUGACUGCUGAUGAAGUCCUGCUGCUGGAACCUCUUGCCCAGGAGGUUAUCCCUUUCAUCGAUAAAUUGAGGCACCAUUUCCCUUUGAAGAGCAUGGUGGUUGAUGUUGGUGCCACGCAAGUGGAUAAUUUGGAUGGCAAGCAUGCUCAAACUGGUGCCGAGUGUGAGCUUCCAUUUGAGUUUCAGGUGUUGGAGCUCGCCCUAGAAGCUGUAUGCUCGUCAUUUCGUUCCAGCCUAUCUGAUCUUAAUAGGCAUGCAGUAUUUGUGCUGGAUGAAUUGACUAAGAAUGUGAGCACUAGGAACCUCGAGCGUGUUCGGAGCCUGAAAAGCAAUCUCACCUCCCUGCUUGCUGGUGUGCACAAGGUAUAGUUAGACAUACAUAUUUUGGUCACUUCUUGAGUUCUUGUAUCUUAAAUCUGAAGUCUUAUGCACGUUUCAUUUCAAUUUUUUGCAAACGUACCGGUAUUGUUCGCUUCAUUCCCACUGUGCAUGUAGCUUUUGAAUUUCUUAAGAAUAACAUCUGCAGCAUGUGUGUCUGCUGUUGAUUAGCAGGACACAUAACAAGUGCUCCAUCUAAUAAAAUAAUUAAUGAAGUUUUGGGAUGCAUGUAGUCAAACUUGCUUAACUUCUGCUGCCUAUAUCUUUAUGAAUAUUUAGUUUAUGCAAUAGGCAUAUGAAAAAUGAUAAUGUGUAGCAUUGUCUGAAAAAAGUGUUUUCAAACUGUAAUAGUUUAUCAGGUUCCAUAAUUAUAGUACAUCAACAAUUAGCUUUCAAAAUUGCACUUUGGAGACUAUGCUGAUGUUCAAAACAUCACUUAUCUGCGUUGAUGAAAUUAGCUAUGUUUGAAUCUUUGAAGAGGCACAGAAAGACAAAAGUUAAUCUAUCAUUCAUAUCAUACUAGACUUUCUCAUACUCCACAAAGCCUUCCAAUCUGUUCUUUAAUAACUAAAAGACUUUUGUAAUAAUCCUUAUGAUGUGUAGAGCCGCUUCCUUUUCAUAAUAUUCGACAUUGUUUUCUUAAAUUUGCAGGUCAGAGAUGAAGUAGAGUAUCUUCUGGAUCAUAAUGAAAACAUGGCACAGCUACCCCUAUCAUGGAAGCAAGCAAAAAAUCAGCAGGAUCAAGCUCUACUGGUUUCUGCUGCAGUAAGUAGCAAUUUUCCUUCAAAGACAAGCCUGGCUAGACCAAAUCCUAUUACCAACCAAGCCAUGGGCAUUGCUACAAGUGCGCCACUGGACACUGAUGCUGGAAACCUAGAGAUGUUACUUGAAUCCUAUUUCAUGCAGCUGGAUGGAAUUCGCAACAGGAUUGUGAUGGUCUGUUCUUUUCUUUCUCCCAACCUGUACUGCGUUUGCAUAGGCAUUCCUUGAAACAACAAUAUACCUCACAAUCAGUAUCAUUUUUGGAAAUUUGUGCUUAUUCACCAUUAUAUCAUCAUAUCGCCAUUAUCCAGAAGGUUUUUCUUCUUAUUUAUUGUGGAGCAAGCUAGUGAAAAUGGAAAAUCCAGCCAAAUUCCUUUGCACUUUCAUAGUAAACUGUUGCAGUUUCAUUGGACUGAUGGAAGCUUAGCAUUUUUUUUGGCUAGAGGGCUAUACUUCCUAUCUUGAUCAUGCAGAUAAUUCUUCUUUGGUACAUUUAACAGGUUCGAGAAUAUAUUGUUGACACAGAAGACUACAUCAACAUCCAACUUGACAACCAACGCAAUCAACUUAUUCAGUUCCAUCUGGCCCUGAUCAUCGUAUCCUUUGGCAUAGCGAUCAACACAUUGAUAGCUGCAUCAUUUGCCAUGAACCUGCCUCACAAUGGUGAUGAGAACACUGCUGUAGGUCCUUUUUGGCCAUUUGUUGGGGCUACCUCAUCUUUCUGCUUGUUGGUCGUAAUCGUGUUGUUCACAUAUGCUUGGAGGAACAGGCUACUUGGCAGUUGAAGACCAUACUUAGAGAAACCCUUGGAAGCAGGGCCAUUAUGUUGGUGACAGCUGGACAGGUAUUUCAUAAUUCCUCCUGACUGGAGAUUAGCAAUACAUUGCUAUGGGUAUAUGAUAGUCGAGGACUAAGAUCUUGUAUGGAAUAUUUUACAUAUUGAUGCUUUAAAUCAUAAGAAGAAACCCCCUUUUCUUUUCUUUUCUUUAUGGAGAUUGCAUCGGCAUUCAUCAUGCAAUGCAUGCUGCCAUACCUGUAUACUACAAGGAUUUUUUUUAAUCAUUGAUAGCCUAGAACCCAAUCUUCAGAUUUGUCAGAAUACAACUGCUAUGUGCCGAAAACAUUUACUAUAAUCACGAACAAAGACAAGGAUAAUAAAUUUGCUUUCUCUUACAUUAUUUUUCUUUAUAAGGGGAUGCCUCGUGUGAUAAUAACAAGAGUCGGUUAAAUCUCCAAAAACAAUCAGAAAGAAGCAAACCCCAAGAUAUUCUAGCCAAAAGUUAGAAACUGAGCCCAAGCUGCAGGCCGAAUGCUGCAUGGAUUAGAAACAGAGUCAUGAUGCCACUGCCGAGUAGACCAUGUGUAGUCCUAAGCCCUGGGUUCCCCUGGCAUUAGAGAAACAAGUUAUUCAUGCUAGCUAUGUAAAUCAUCAGACAUUUUAGACUAUUUCCUUGAAAAGAUCAGUAGUUUUCGAUGAGCCAGAUUUGAAUUGCGAAAGCAAAAUAUUGAACUGAUGUGAUCAUUUGAUGUAUCUUCUCAAGUUACCUCGAAUAAUUUUGGAAGAAUAGACUGAAUGGUCAAGAGUGCAAGGCCGAUGACUCCAGUUACUGCAUGAGGACUGUGAAUCCAUCGCAGAAAAUUCAGAUGGCGACCCUUAGCUUCGCAGAAGGAAGAUGGUAUUCUGAAUUCUGAGUUCUGAAAGCAGUACCUUUCAAAGAUUGGUUUGUCUGAGGUAAGAAGAGCGGUGACACCGCCUGUAGCGCCGAGGGCGAAGAAGAAGAACAUGCCGGCCAGGAGCUUCGGAUGGAGAUCUUUGGCCUUGGCCUUCUCUUCCUGUAUGCAGGUUCCAUUCCCGAAUUUUAAAAGUGUUCUCAAUGGAAGGCAAAAGGCAAAAAAGGUACACUUUUGCUUAUGUAAGUGGCCAACUGGCCAUAUUGGUGAAUAUUGAAUACUACUUACUGGAUCAUCUGAUAGUUUGAUCCUGAAGCCGAGGUAUGUCCCGUAGCCACCCAUUGCAAAUAGCACCACAGCCUGAAAAGAAAGAACACAGACUUAGGAUAGGAUCAGGCAGGUACAGAUACAACCAAACCAGCUAGGCUCAUCCAGCUCUGUCAGUUCAUCUACAUCGCUGCUCUGGCAGCCACAGAAUUCGAUCUCGCAGCAUUCUUACAGUAAAGGUUGCUACCGAUUUCCAAACUUGUUUGGGAACUUGAAAAACGUGAGACGUGAAGAAUGCAACGAAGGGGAACGAAAGACGCAGUACCAUGUUGCCUGGGUGGCCCCAGUGCACGAGCCAGCCGGGGAGGUCCAACGUCUUCACCAGCUCCACGAACGGCGCGAACACGGCCGUCACCGGCUCGGCUGUCCACAACAAGGCAAGCGAAACCGCCGGCGAAGAAAGGGCAAAGCCAUCAGCACCGGCCACCGAGCGAGCGCGCACUCGCAGAGAACAAACCGAGGCAAAGAACAAGGCUCCGUGCAUACCUCCAGGCAGCAGCGCGGCGAGCAGGAGAGGGUAGGGCGCCAGCGAGUAGAGCCGCGUCCCGGCCGGCUGCCGCCGCUCGCCCUCGUAGCUUCUCGCCGAAAGGCCCGGCUGCUUCUGCUGGGUGCUCGCGGCUUGGAGCAGCGUGGCCGGCAAUGCCCGGCGGCUGGAAGGAGGUGGCGGCGGGAGCGUCCGCCGGAAGGAGGCGCGCGGCCGCAGGAGAAGCGAGCUCGCCAUCGCCGCGGUAGGCACGGCCACCAUCCCUCGUGCUGUCGUGCACAACUACCACCUACUGGCUACUCGAUCUUUUUUGACUUGGCGUGGCGGUCGUGAGAUGCCCGACGACGCGGAGGGAUAGACCGAUAGAACAAGAGCAGGUGGCGGCGAGAGGAGAGGAGGGAAAAGGCCAAAAGGGGAUGUGGGGGAUCGUGGCGUGGAGACAGCCCGGCCAAGUGAAGUGAGGCGAGCACACGCGCCAGUGCUUGCGUGGUCCUGUGAGUGCUCUUCGUGAGAACAAUAAACCCGAUGCUGUCACGAGGGACUUGCAGCGUUAGGACACGCAGCGCAGGCCUCCGCCCCAGCUGCGCGAUAAGCUACCAUCGGCUCAUCUCGAGUCUAGUCGCAUUCAACUCCUAUCAUAAGAACCAGCAAGCAAUCAAAACUAAGGCCGUAUCUAAAUACAUGAAUUUCACGAGAAUAAACUCAGAACAAGAAUUUCAGCAAAAGAAUCAAUGACUAAUAGGGAACAAUCCCAGUAAUUACUCCUUGGUCGCUGGGUACAAGUGUCCCCAUUAUCAUCAGAGUUGUCAACUAUCCUCAUGAUCACAAGCCCUUAGGCGUUUAAUCGCCCCCAAAAUCAAUUUGCCUUGAAUAGCAAAACAGGGAAAAACAUCGCAAAGAGUAAAAGCUUCUGCUCUAAUACAAACCUCUGUAUUUUCAAUUCUCGGUGUGGAGUUGGCUCUGAUGGAAGCAUUCCACAAAACAAGUCCAACUCCCAGACGGUUUCCAAAAAGGCUAAAAUGGGAGAGCUGUUCUAGGUAUUGCUCCAAAGCUUAUGUUCUUGGAGACAGUAUGUGACGCUUGUACUGUUUUACAGGAGAUAAGUCGGACUCAUCAAGGCUUGACUGAUAUGGCCACGCCGAAUCUUGAAGGCGAACGCACCACCUUCGGAUCAUACUCGGCUGAAAGAGUCACGAGGGACUUUGGCCUCCACUCAUGCUGACAGAGAAGUCCGACCUUCCCAGAGUUGCUGAAUCUCGUCUUAAGUGAUGUAGAAGAAUCAAGGGCAUGGGAGCUCCCAAUGGUGAAAUAGUUCUCCUUUGUUUUCAGCUUGUGUGUUACCUCAGCCGCCACUGUAGCACCAUUGGUCGGAUUGAAAAGGUGAAUAUAUGACGCCUUUAAAGUCUCCCCUUUAUCAGCUCUAUGUACCAAAAAUGUGGAAAGAUUGGUCAGCCCACAAGUAGAGGUUGCUAAGAAAAUAUUGUUUGUCUGCCAAACAUGCAAAAUCUUUCAGGCAAGGAAAAGACCAAAAUGACAAACUAGAAUAGACAUGGAUUAACUUUUGUACACUGACCAGAGAUUAUGUAACUGAUUAUAACAUCAAGAGCAAUGCACAAAUUUCCAUAUAUGCCUAAACAGAAAGCAUAAAUUUGUGGAGCUUACAAUAGUAAAGAAGCAGAGAAAUCCGGUUUGUUGUAUCCGAUCCCCGAGUUGUACUUGGUAACAGAAGCUGAAGUACUGUCAAAUCCAACCUCAGCACCAAAGCUAAGUUCACUCGUGCCAACAGUUGCAGCCAGCUCAACCAAAGGUGCUGAUGUCAAACCAAUGGUUGAAUUCAAUGCAAAACGAUUGUGAGCGUAUUGCAGAUCAAGCUGUCAGCCGAAAAAACAGUAAGUAUUUGCAAUGAUAAAAAAAAUAUUUCACUGAAAAUUGGUGGGUUGAAAUGCAGAUCAUUAGCCCACUGAUGUAAUCAAUAAACACAAUAUGUGAGGCAAAUACAGUUCAGUUAAGAUUGGACUGCUCAUUUUGUAUUUCAGUAAAGCUGAUGUUUCCUCCUUACUUCAAAAGAUACUAACCUUAACAGACUUGUGAUCGGGAACCUUGAAGCUGAAUGAAGUCUUCAAACCAGUGAGUGCUUCAUCAACAGUGACUGUGGUUGACACCUGCAAACAAGAGGACUCCAGUAAGAACACAAGUGAGGAUAUCUAAUGCAGACAUGAAGGAAGACCAUGGCUAGAGCAAACAUGAAUAUGAAGCAAUAAAUAUUAUGAAUGCACAAAUGCAGCUGGUAGAAAUGGCAUAUUAACCGCAUCAGUUUAUAACUCAAAUUCAGAAAUCCACUAGUUCUAAGUUGGCAGAUCUUUCUUAGCCUAAAAAUGGAAGGAGAUCCAGUUUAAUACAGGCAUCACUUUUAGAUGCUUACAACUAGCUAAAUUUAACACUAUUACCUGCCCACAGAAUUUAUUAGCAGUGUAUGUUUGCUGCUUACAUAGCUGAUGCAUGUAUCCCUAUAGCAUAUAUGAAGCAAGUGAUCUAAUAUUUCUGAUGCCAAGAUAUGUUUGUCUCAUGAAAGAUAUUUAGUGACAACAAUGCCACUAUUAGCAGCCCUGAUCCAGAAAACAGAGAACCUAUGCUACCAAGCUCCGCAAAAGGAAUUCAAAUGCAGAAAAACAAACAAAGUUUACAAGGACCGUACUUUAGAAUCACUAUCAAUUAUGACAUCAACAGUGGUUCUACCACUUUUAUGCUGUGUCCGUAUAUCACCAAUGAAGUCUUCAUUGAUCCUCACACCAGUGGCCGUGAGAUUCUAUGACAAAAACAUAGGUUAUCAGAAAAAUAAACUCAAAGAGUUUUCGGGAGGAACUAAAUGAGAAGUAUAAGCAUUAAACCCUUACCAAACCGGAGCUGCUAGACGUCGACAAAGAAAACUUUUGGUCAAAGUUGUAGUCCUUGUACAAGAGAUCUGUAAGUAGGGGAAGUAAUAACACAUGAAGUUUGCAAGCACAGAAAUCUGACAAUAAAAUGUAUAUGCAUGUGUCAUACAAUAUAUGCUGACAGACAGGUCCAGAUGUACAUUUACGCCAUUCUAUAGAAGAGAUAGAUAAGCCAUUCACAUUCACAAAGAAUUGGGCUUCUGUUUCUCUGCCCAUAACCUAUCCAUGCAGAUCACAGCGACUAGAUAAUGGUCCGUUCUCUAUGAAGCUACACAAGAAUCCUCGUGAUGGUUGUAUGAAUCCUUAGCACCUAAAACCAAUUAACAAGCCAUUCUAUUAAAACCACCCCAUGCAUAUCGAACAGAAAUGCUACAUUCUUAGAGAGAGAGAAAAACUGCAUUCUAAUAACAAGCCACAACACGAAUUAUCAAGCCAAGUAUCACACCAGAAAUUGUCUGCCAAAAUGCAUAGAAUGGCAUGAAGCGCAUCAACUGAAAACUAAGAUCUGAAGGACUUUUUGAGAACCUUUUGCUCUCUUCCCGAUGUUGCCGAACGGAACUGGGCCUUUGCUCAUCUUCCUGAACUUAGUAAGGUACCAGUGACCUGAAAAUAAGUGCACAUUAAUACCAUGAUCAGUCAACAGAGCAAGAGGAGGCUGGAUUAACUGGCUACAGCCUCUAAACAGGCAGAAAUUAGUCUUCCGACACAAGAGUUUUUUUGGUAAAAACAAACAGCUGCUCCCGCUUGAAACAAUCAAUGGUUUUCAGUCAGAACAAACAUCUACAUCAUCACCAGAGGCGAACAUGACGCGGGGGCAGCGGGUUCAGUUGAAGAACCUCCAAAUUAUCUGGAAAACAAACUGCACCCGCACCUAAAUUUGGUGCUAACAACUCCUACGGAGUCAACUAAUGCUGAUUCCGGGGACGCACACAGGAUGGAUUAUAAUGCACUAGAUUAGUAGCGCGCCACGCAAUCGUUAUCGACGAAGUAGCGCAACACUUGGCACACAAAUCUACAGGUAACUCAAUGGGGGAAGAGGAAGCUCCAGAUUCGCUCGAGAAGAAAAAACCAAACUCUCACCAGAACAAAGGAUUCCGUGUCAAUCCACCGAGGCAGAGAUAGGCUUGCCACUUACCAACAGGAGAAAACCGAUCCGCGUCCAGAUGUAUCUCCACAACACGAGACCUAGAGAGACGAGGGGUGGCGGCGGCGGAGCGAGGAUCCGGCGGAGAGGUGGGAGAAGAGUAGAGGGAGGGGACCGGCGGCGCGGUGCUUGCUUGGCUGCAGUGGGAGAGGCAGAGUCCUAGGUUUGGAAUCCCGCACCGCACCGGCAAGGCAACGCACGCUGAGUCCGGGGCUUGGCCCACGACGGCCCACAUGCGGCCACGCCUCCGGAUCCUGGAUUCCCUCUCUCUUUCGCUGUUUCCUUUCACUUUCGUCUCCAAGAUCCUCGCCGGAUGCAUCUAGAAGAAAGAUUCUCCCCAGGUAGAAACGUUAAAUUUGAAUAUUGUUUUAAGGGUCGAAUUCAAGCGAAAAAAUUUGGUGAUCACACGGGAUGGAACACAGAAAUGGUACGCACAGGUCAGGUGGAGUCGCCGACUGUUGGGCCCCACAGCUCUAACACCGAAAACGAGAACGACAGGGUCAUAUUCAACUGUUUAUGAAUUAUCAUCCUUCAUCGUCAACAGAAUCACAAGAUAUAGUAACAGACAGAAGCCGUGAUUUACUAAAUUGUUUUACAGUGCCUAAAACGAUCACAAAUCAUAGUAACGAACUAACGAACACAGAAGCGACGAUUUACAGAAUUGUUUUGCACGACCGCACGAGAACAUCAGAAACUCAGAAAGUGAUUUUUGCUGCUCCAAGAAAGUUGCCUCGUCGAAACACUAAUCAGAACUCACAUCGAUAACCCAAUUAAUCAUCUUAUAUUGGUACCUGAGUUUCAUAUACAAGGUGAAAAGGAUAUGGACAUCAAUUAGCAGUAUAACAAUUGCAGCCAAUGCUUCAAUAUGCCAUAAAAGUGUACAUAAAAUGUUACAAAUUGCCUGUAAAGCCUGAUUUGAACUUCAAAUGAUCAUGCCAUAUUUUACCUGUCACAAAUUAUUCACAGUAGCAAAAAUUGCCUCUUGUAUCCAAACCAAAUAAAUUUAUCUCUUCUAGGCACUAUCGAUUAUAAUAGGAAACUUAUGAGAGAGAGAGGAUGACAAGCAUGACAUAUUUCUUCUGGUCACAGGAGCUUAGAUUAUAUUAAGGGUCCAUUUGGUAGGGUUUAUUGGACAGCUUCUUUGACGGCUUCUGGAGAAGUUGUACCAAACGCCCUACCAAAAAACGGCUUAGCCCGCGAAGCACCCACAAGCCCGUGUGCAUUUUGCACUAGCGAGGCGAAGCCGGAAUUUUUGGCUCCCCACGGCUUCCUCACCUUCCGCGCAGGACUGGGUACGAAAUUGCCCCUGGACGUCGCAGUUAUUAUAGGCAAAUUGCCACCACCCCGGCCUCAUCCCUUUCCGAACCACACGUCUCUCUCCAGGCCUUGAUUCCUCUCUCCCUCUCCUCACUGUCAGUGACGGCGGCAGAAAAAUGGAGGACGAGGCAGCGGAGGCACUGGCCGGAAGAGGACCCCCGGUGGCUGGAAGGGGCGGAUCCGGUGGUGGUCUCGAAGAUGCGGUCGGCGGUGUGAGUGGCGGCACUCCAUCCCUGUUCGUGUGGCAUGGAGGCCUGCCAACGGGUCCCUUGGGCACGCUGCUGGUCGCCGGCGGAGUGGCCUCAGGCAUGGGCGCGGGUGCAUGGCUCGGCAUCCCCGGCGCGGCUGGAGCCGCAACCACCGGGGGUGCGGACGGCGCGACCCAGACCGGCCACGUUGCUGGGUCGUGGGUUAGCGCCCCAGCAACGGUGGGCCUGGCCACCGGCGCCUGGCCCGGAGGAUGGUUGGAGUGGUGGGUCGGAGCAGCGGCGGUGGCUCUAGGGCUGGAUUGGAACCGUGCCGGCGUUAGUGGAGUGUCGACGCCGACCACCUAUGUGACGGCUUCACAGGAGGUUGGAGGCGACGAACAGGGUGAUGAAUGGCUGCCGGUUUGGGCCAACUUUGGUUCGGAUCAGGGCUCCUCAGCUCGCCGGCAAGGUGGCCGUGCACCUAGGCCGCCACCGGUGGCUGGGACAGCUCCUGCUCCUGCAUCUGUGGAUGUCGACCUCACCAAUCCAAGGUAUGACCUUGCUUGUAGCAUGAAUGUACCAAUGAAAUGGACUGAAAUGUGGCAUAUUAGCAGAUGGUUGAUGGAAUGGUAGCUGAACAUAUUUGACUGAAAUAUGUCAUAUUAGCUCACUGGUUUUGAUGGAAUUGUAGUUGAAUGUUUGCAUUCUAGGCAGUGAAUGGUAGUUGAAUCACAGACAUGAGCCAAGUUGAGCAAGUAGGCUGGCUUUGAUAGGUGACAAGUGCUUUAUUGUUUCCUAACAUUUGGGCGUGUUCACUUAUACAUCUAUUGGGCAGUUCGGGUCUAUGCAUUACACUAAUGUGCUCUUUCAUGCACUUCGACAUGAUCACGACACAUUUCCGCACCCCCUCAGGGUAUGUUGGAUGACCUAUGUUUAUCUUUUUUCUCAUGUUUGUACAGAAAUGCAUGUCUCCCACAACCUUCAUUUUUACAUGUGUAUUUAGGAAAAUAUUAUUUUACAUGUGUAUUUAGGAAAAUAUUAUAUGGUUGAUGUCGAGCACCCAAAUAGACCUGGAUACUUGGCACCAUACAAGGAUGAAAGGUAUCAUGUGCCAAAUUGGAGGAGAGGUCCUGCUCCAAAUGUUGAGCAAGAGCAUUUUAAUCAUUUGCAUUCAAGUAUUCGCAAUGUGGUAGAGCGCUCUUUUGGUGUGUGGAAAAUGAAGUGGAGAAUCCUUCUCUUGUCGAGUUACCCAAUGGAGAAGCAAAAGAUGAUCGUUGCUGCAACCAUGUGUCUCCAUAACUUCAUUCAUGAGAACCAUGCACAAGACAAGAAUUUCCACAAAUGCGAUCGGAAUCCCGAUUAUAUGCCCACUAUACCUUCAAGAUAUAGAAAGCAUUAUAUUUCUCAAGAUGCUGGAGAUACAUCCAAUUAGAAAGAUGAUAGGAGCAUGAAUAAAUUCCGAGAUAACCUUGCUACGUCAAUCUUCCUUUCUAGAUCAUGUAUCUUGUAUGUAUGGGGGACAAUGCAAUGGGACAUGUCUGUUAGCUUGAAUGGGACAUGACAGUUAGCUUGUACGGGACAAUGCAAUGGACGGAUUAUGUCUAUUUUUGUUACUAUUAGUUUGUAUGGGACAAUGCAAUGGGACAUGUCAGUUAGCUUGUAAGGAGCAUGUCAGUUAUUACUUUGGUUGCCUAAUUAUUGCUUAAACAACAAUCCCUUUAAUUUAUUUUUAAAUUUGUAAUGAACUCAAAUUAGAAAGUAAUGUUAAACAUUCAAUAAUUAAUCCACAAACAAUCCACACAACCACAUUUAACCUCUCGAAGGAGAAGCCGUUUUGCCACAGCUUCAGCUCUACCAGAUAAGCUGCUUCACCAAAGCAGCCACAACCGCAACCCAAAGCAGCCACAGCCGCAGCCCUACCAAACGAGCCCUAAAAGAAUCAAGAUGACCGCAUCGUGUAGAAUAAUUUGAAGUAUGUUUAGAUAGACCAGGUUCAUGAUCAAAAUUGCAUGUGCCUGUCACCUCUGACAAAGAAAAAGACAGAUAAUCUACAUAGCUGUACAGUAAGAAUGAGCGACUGUGGUACACUAGGGACAUCAUCAAGUGAUAAAAGAUGUCACUGUAAUAAAACAAAAGAGUGUAUUGAUCUUGAGUUUUUUCUUCAGGAUUGAUACAUAUUCCAAUCCAGGUCAGGUUGUGAAAAAACUUCAUAAUCCGUGGGACCAUCUACAAAGCUAUUAACUGUCUGCAUCCCUUCUAACAAAGAUGGCUGGAAGCUAUCACUUCUAGAAGGCAGCAGCUUAUAGAACACUAGCAUCCCAAGAGUACAUAUAGCCUGUAGCUUCAUGGAAUCACCCUGAACGGCAAAGAAGAGCAGCAUUGCAGCAAGGAAGAAGAUCACACAGAAUUGCAUGAUGCACAGCACUCUGUCCAUCAGCUUCCCAUCAUUCCCUGCUGGAAAUCCUCUAACUCUGUACACAAACAAGAAAUUGUACUUGUCCACAAGAUAUCGGUAGCCAAAGUAUGCUGCACCCACAGGAACCACGAGCGGAGCAAACAGGGAGUAGAUCAUUGUGAGUGCAAAUAUUGUAAUGUCAAAAGCAUAGUACUGUGCAAAGUCAAAUUUCUGCUUUGGCAUGUGGAAGCUCCUGUUUAAUGGGUAUAGAGAAAGAUCAUGCCCCUCGAUACUAUCCAGAAGGCCACUGUCUUCUCGCUCAGGCAUCAGAGGUGCUGUCAAAUUAUUACUUUCUUCACCAUUCUGCAUCAUUAGAUAGUCCUCAUUUUCUUCAGGGACCAACUGGACCAUGUCAUUCUUUCUAAAUUUCUUCAUUAUAUGCUUUAUCCAAGGGAUUGGUGCCAACAGAUCAAAAGAUAUUCCCAGAAAGGUACACGUGAUCAAGAAUGCCAGGGAUGAAAGUGAUGAUCUUGAUAAAAAUGACGGGCUUAAGUAGUGUUCGAUCUGCUUGCAAUCUGGACCAUCCAAGUAGCAUCGCCCCAUGCUAAGGAUCCAACUUUCAAGUGACGAUUCCACCAGGGCACGCAACAGGAUCAGAUUAACAAGGAAGAAGCAAACCAUCUUGAGCAAUGCAGCCCUCUGCUCCCCUGACACCGUCAGAUGGCACUCAAACUUGGAAAAGUAUGACAACACAGAUGGGAUGAUGAUAUACAUGCUCACAAAGAUGAGAACAUUGGGAAGAAACUGAAAGAUUAUGGUCCAGAACCAGCUUGAGCCUUCAAGCCAGGCAAGCCAUGAUUUGGCAUGAUCCAUAGCCUCCACAUUGAUGAUCCGUGCCGCGCUUUGCAUCCCGCUGAUGAUUGCCAAGGGUGAACUGAAGAACAAUAGCAUUAAAAGUAGGCAGGUGUUAACUGCAAUCCUCCUCAAUCUCGAAGACAUCUUGCUAAGACCUAGAUGAUUCCAGUAAAUAUCUGAAGCCGGCGGUGCUCUCUCCACCUUCCACCGACUUCUCUCGAGCUGGAGCUCCAUCACAGGGAAAAACCUGCCGAUCGGGGUCUUCUUCCUCUCAAGCUUAAAAUCCCUUACAGCCUUGUUUGCGGUGUAGACAUCCUUAAACACCACAAAAGCUACGCCAGCGCCAGGGGCACGCCCUUCCUUAUAAUCCGAUAGCUUGCUUCCAAGCACAAGUUUCUUAGUCUGCAAUUUCCUCAACCUUUCCUCAUCAGUAAAACCUAGCCUCUCCGAUGCCAUCACCCACAGCUCUUUGCACCUUCUCACAAACCGAUGCUCCUCUGAUUGAGCUGCUUCGGCGUGUGCAAAGUCAUCAAACAGGUCACGAGCGCCCAACUUUGCCUCCAGCCAAGAGAUUUUGUUCCGGACCUUACCCAAUUCCUGGACGAGGUAUUCCAACGUGCAGAGAUCAAAUGGCACGAUAACACGGUAAACUUUGCCAGGGUACUUGUGCUCGAAGUAGUCCUUGAGCGGGGUCCUGUCUGCAGCCAACGUCUUGGGGAUGCCCUGGAUCAUUAUGGUGAAGACGGCCACGGAGCUGGAAUUGGGGUCGCUGGGGUUGCCGUUGCCGUCGCGGAAGCGUGUGAUGCGGAGCGCGUCCUCCAUCCGGGAGAUGCCGAGGUGGGCGAUGGCGACGACGGCGGCGGUGAGGAGGAGGUGGAGCCAGAGGAGCGGUGAAGACUUGGGGAUGUGCGAGAUGGUCGUGGUGGCGAAUUGGUCGAUGAUGGCGGCGUCCCCCGCAAGGAGGUUGAGCGGGAGGGCCGCCACGACGGCCGCACCGGCGACGGCGGCGAGGAUAAGGAAGGAGGCGCGCUCGAAGAGGAGGAACUGGGCGGCGUCGGCGCCGCAGUGGAGCGCGAUCUGCGGCGCUGUGGCGUGGUAGACGGCGAGGAGCUUGGCGGCGAGCGCGGAUGGCCCCGGGAUGCGGCGGUGGUCGAAGCGGAGCUUGACGAGGAGGAACAGGAGCACGCAGGAGGCGGCCCCCACGGCGGAGAUGUUGAUGAGGUACUGGAUGCUACCGUACCACGCCUCCGGGUCCCCACCCCCGCCGGCGUCCGGCGGCGCCGCGGCCGGGACCAUCGGGGGCGACGCCGGGGUGGCAAACCCUAGAUUCCGGUGGAGACGGAGUCCGACCGCGAAAUAUUCCGUUCGCCGAUGAGAUGCCUUGCCGCCGCUCGUGGCCCUGGUCGUGGGGGGUGCGUGCGGAACGGGUGGCGGAUCGGGUCCCGGCUGGCUAGAUCACGGGACGGGACGGGGGCGGUGAACGAGCCGUGUCGCCGUGCGCUGCCCGUCGAGGUGCGUGACGCUGAAGGUGGGAACACCGCGUCGGGUGGAGAUCUAUUUUCUCGAAGAAUUUUUUUAGCAUGUGUCGCGUGGGAGUAGAGUAUGCCUCGUGUUUUUUUUGAAGAUAGUAUUCCUCGUGGUUAAGGGACCUGCAAAACUUGCUCGUGGGUGAUUGAGUCAUAGUAAAUUUGUAAGCUUCGUAACCUUUUUAUUAAGGAUCUAUAUUGAUAUACGUCAAUUACCCCGUAGGACACUCGUGCCACAAAAGAUUUUAGAUGAUAUGGAGAUAAGAAUGGUGAGAAGAUGAGAUCAUUAUUUUGCAAAUCAACGGUCUUAUGAACCACUCUGUCCUAUCUGAAAUAUGAGUUUAUCUAGAUUUGACAUAAAUAAACUAUUUUUAAAUUUUAUACACAUAUUAAAAAAUUAUAUAGGUUGACCAAUUCGCAGAUCUUCUACGAAAUCUUUUCAUAUACAACUCUUUACUCUUUUUAAUCAAGAUAAUAAGUCUUUAUAAAUAUUGUUAGUCAAAGUUCGAGAGAUGCAACUGUGUUUUAUUUAUGGCAUUUCCCUGUCACGGAUAUGAUCCAAAUGUUUUAUUCUACCGUUAAGUUUUGUAAUUCUCUUGUAGAAAAUGUGAAUACCAAUUCAAAAGACGGUGAGUAAUGACGAAGUAUAUUAGGGUCAUCAAACUUGAUGCAUUGAUCUAAAGUUGGCCAUCGGCUAAACUUCUUUAUCGCAUGCUUAAGUAAACAUAAGGCAUUUCUUAUAUUCUUGGAAGGAGAUUGACGUUCACUGUAUUCAAGUUCUUUUACUCGUUUAUCACUUUGCUCUCGUGGGGAUGCUUCCAUCUUGCAUAAAUACGACGGUGACAAAUUCUCUCAUGCGUGUAAGCAAAGUAAAGCAAGUAUUCUAUCUCUUUACUCCUCUGCUACCUAAAAUCAAAAACAAACGAAAAGAAGGCGAACAACAGCAAUAUUAUAUAAUCCACUUCAUGGUGUACUCCAUAUUCCUUUUGGUUCCUGAUCUUGUGAAUUUUGUUACAGAUUGACCCACACAUAAUCAACAUCAAUCUUAGUAGAAUUGCUAAAUUGUCAAAACUCAAAAGAGACCGAAUCCUCUAGAGACUAUUUUCUACUUGAAGCUUUGUUUCAAUAUCUUAUAGUACAAACUAAUAAAGUUUGCAAAAAUAAAAACUCAUAACCGAUACCCUUGAAGGUAUAUCUUAUUGUGUUUUAGAAUAUCGAUUAUCAACAUUAUUUUACAGUUUUUAUGUACAUCUCGACCAAUUAUUAUCAUUUUAUUUAGUCAUCAUGUACACUGGCCCACGUUAAUAAAGAACUCUUCCAAGUUUUCUUUUUUUACGAAAGAGAAUAUUUCCAUGUGGCAUCCAAAUGACCAAAUCCCGCCUUGGAAGGUUAUCCAAAAACUCCUCCGAAAAGAACCCCAAGAAAUGUCCGAAACCCCCCGGACCCACAGGGCAGAAUCCACCCUUGACAAAAAAAUCAUCCGCGAUGGCAGAAGCCGACGCACACAGCAACAGCGCACGCACGCCAGAGACUUGAGGCUCCAAGCGAGCGCAGCCGAAGAGAAAAUAAUGGCCACGGCGACGGCCCUCUCCCUCGGCGGCGGCGCCCGCGGCGGCUGCGGCGGCGGUACUCCCCUCCUGCGCGGGUACACGGCCGCGGCGGCGGGUCGGUGCUGCGCGUUCCCCCGCUCGCGGUGGAGGCAGCCGCGCCUGGCGGCCUCCCGCGCGGACGACUCCUCGCCGGCGCCGUUCGAGAUGACGGUGGAGGGCGCGCUGAAGCUGCUAGGCGUCGCCGAGGGCGCGUCCUUCGAAGAAAUCCUGCGCGCCAAGAACGCCGUCCUCGCCUCCUGCAAGGACGACCAGGACGCCGUCGCCCAGGUCCCCGAGACUACUUCUCCUCCACCCCUUUAUUAUUAUUCCAUUUGCGUCCGCCUUUUGUUGUGCUCAGCCGCUCAGGGGGAAUAAGGCGAUUCUUUAUUGUGUCCUUGGUACCUCCGAUUGAAGUUGCUAAUUUAGUACUGGAAGCCGCCUGGAUCAAUUGGGAAUGUGUGAAGCGAUGUGGACUGUUGUUAUAUAUCCUAGCGCGCUUCUCAAAUGAAGAAGCAAAAUUUGUUUAUGAAUACAACUCUUAAUACAGUGGGGGGAAAGGGUGAUGACUUUAUCUGGCUCAUUAAGUUGGUGAUGGACUGCCUGUUCAUUGGUUCAUGCAAUUUGAUUCGCGAUGCAUUAUGCGUGAUCUCUAAAAAGCUAUGCAGUGGGUUAGUUUGAGACUUAAAAGAGGUAUUGGUCUUUGUAUAUCCAUGGUGGAGAUGAUCAUAUAUGUAUUGCCUUAUUUUGAGGUAGUAGCCUGCUUCGUAGGAAUGGAAGGGUUUUAAAAUUUCAGUAACUUAAUUUUUUGCAUGUUCCUAGUGCUCAAUUUUUGUUGCAGCUUACUGUUAUUUUAUGACAUUUAUAGCCUUUCUUGUUCCAAUGGACUAGCUUUAUUUCCUUCUUGUUUUCUUCUGCAAGCCGUCCUCUUGACAUGUACAGUUGUUUGUGGCUGUUCCUCAGAUCCUUGCCUAAUUCCUUAACUGUCUAUUUCAAAACAAUUUUACAUGUAGUUACGGCUGUUCCUCAAAUGAACACAGAAAUCCAAUCUCAUACACUUCCCUGGUGCCAUAUUUGACUCCUAUUCCUUGUUUCAUUUCAGGUGGAAGCUGCCUAUGACAUGUUGCUUAUGCAGAGUUUAUCGCAGCGGAGGGCUGGAAAGGUUGCUGAUAACAGCAUCCGCUAUGCUGAUGUUAAACCUGUAAAAAGUGCGGGAGCAGGGACUGUCCCGCAGUGGAUGCAGGCAACCAUGAAGAAUGCACCUAUUACAUUUGAGACUCCAUCUUCGAGCAGCUUGGGCAUCCAGUCAUGCGUUUAUGGUGCACUGAUGGUUUUCACAUAUGCUAGUGGAAGCUCUACAUCUUUACCAUCGGCAUACACUAGCCCUGAUGUUCCAGGUUUUAUCCUAGCAACAGGAUUUGGUGCGUCAUUGUAUUUCCUGGCAAAGAAAAAUAUGAACUUAGGUAAAUUGAUCCACCACUUUUGCUCCGUAGUUAUAUAUCCAAUGCCUUAUGUUGGUUUAUUUUUUUGCUCCAUAGUUAUAUAUCCAAUGCCUUAUGUUGGUUUAUUUGGACAUUGGUUUUUAGAACGUAUACAGCAAAAAAAUUUAAGCCUGCACAUUUUGUAUUGUGGAAGCAUAGGAAUGUUCAUCUAAAGUUGAAGGUGCAAUGAUUCCAUAAUUUAUACAAGCACCGACAUUUUAAUCGCAUUAUUCACCUUUUUGGCAAAAACCAGUUUCGCUCGCCCUGGUGCAAUCGUUGAGCGGCAUAAAGUUGUGCAUUGUUCAUCAUAUAUGAAACCUAUAUCAUCUUCUUGCUUUUGUAGGCUGUGUUGUCAUGGUAGUUUUCUCGCAAAUUAGUACUUGGUCAUGAAUCAUUUAAUUUAUCAGUGUCAUUUUUUAUUUUUGAGUAUAGUACAGAACCCAGAUAUCCCACCACGGCACUACUCAUAUGCUACUAAGAAAGGUGCAUGUAUCCUUGUUGGUUAUAAGGGUGAUUAAGCAGAGAUUGCUUGCAUUAGGUUAUACUGGACAAAAGCUAUAUCUGUCAUAAUUCAAUGCUAGUCUGUCUCAUGCAAUAUCAGCCUUUUGGAUAAGGUGCCUGGAUAGCCAAGUCAAACAUGCUGCAUCAUCCUUUUGUGUGGCCAUUCUUCUAGUCUUCUGUAGUGUGUCCCUAUAAUCAUUCUGCUCAUGGGCCAUUCGAUGGGCUUCAGGUGACAGUGAGGUUUGGUUCAAAGAGUUAUGAGCUCCUGAUGAAAAGAAAAGUUUAGCUAAUCUUCAAGAGGGCACAUAGUAUUAGCCCAUCAGAAACAAAUACAGAUAUUCAGGUACAAUAGUAAAAAGUAGAUCAGAUGUCUGGUGACUGUACUAUACUAUGGAGUACCUUGAUUUUGAAAUGCAUGUGUAGAAUUCUUAUGGUGAGUUAUUUUUUUAAAAAAAAGAAUUCUGAUAGUGAGUGAGCAUGUGGGUUUCGCUGGCAUAGAAGUCCAGAAAACCCCUAUCUGCUUUUGUGCAUUUUAUGACAUUGCUUACUUAUGGGAGGAAACCUGGUUCAACAUUUAGGUUAAUGCUGCUCUUCUGCCAACCUUCAUGUAUAGAUUUAGCAUGAUAAUAAAGCCUUUUGUGGUCCUUUAUCCAGGUAAGGCUGCAUUGAUCACCGUCGGGGGACUUGCAGCUGGUGCGACUGUUGGAUCUGCAGUGGAGAAUUUCCUGCAGGUUGAUAUCGUGCCCUUUCUAGGCAUCCACUCCCCUGCUGUCGUUGUCAGCGAAUUUAUUCUCUUCUCCCAGUUGUUGGUAUCACUAUUUGUUAGGUAGGAUCUGAAAUCAAGCUGUCAACCUGGCAUGUAAUUAGCUGAAAUGGAUAUCAUGUUCGAAGAAGAGUCAGGAAACUGCUAUUCUCCACAGAUGGAAGCAGAUGUGUAUAGCAAACAAUAUAUUGACAUCUUUGUCCAUUAUAAAAAUCACCUGUAUCUAGUUCUAUCAAGCUCAAUCUGUGUUUCUGAAAGAAGCUUGUACGGGUUUCAAUGUAAAUUUGCAUUUUUCUGACAUCAAAGCAAAGCAUUUAAUUCUUUGGUAUGUCACUGCUGAAAAUGGUGAAGCCAAAGGUGCUGGAUUCAUGGCUGGAGAUUUUGGUCAUAUGAGCAACCCAUUUACAUUGAACUUUGUAUACAGCUGCUAUUCUUUCAGUAUCUUUGAAACUGUUAUCUUUCACUUCAAUUAAGAUUAGUUGCAGGUUGCAGUCCUCCGAGACUGGCUCCAGGUUUGCCUCAAAAGUCAGAUCGGAUCAUGUUUCUCGCAUCAACUUAUGUCUGGAUUACUUUAUAAGAUUCUUUGUAUCCUUUGCGAUAGUGAUAAGAUGUGAAAAUGUGAAUCUGAGACAUUAGCAUGGUUGAAAGGAGUAUUUGUUUGAGAUGACUUUGGAAUCCAUCCAGUCUCAUGGAUUGUUGUCAAAUAAAUGGGUUCCUUGGAUAUCAACUAUGUGGGCUCAUUUGUGUUUCAAUUAAUAACGCACAUAAUGCAUAUAAACAGCUAAGGACCUGUUUGUUUUAUCUUGCAUAUUGUGGAUUGCAGCUUGCAGGUUGUGAUGAUCUGCAAGCUGGAACGAACAAGUCCUAUCCCCCGGCCAAUCCACAGCCUGUAAGCUAAAACGCCUAAGCCUAGUUUCGUACUCCACAGGUUGUGGAGUAGAUCGCUGUCCCGUGAGCAAUGCCUGAUCCCUUUACACUCGUGUGCCGACCUGCCACUAACCUUCAGGGUCACAAAAAUCUGUGUCACUGUGUGUGAUGUUCCUUACAUGUCAAAUCUCUGAUGCUGCUAGCUGUCUGAGCAAAAUCACGAACCGGAUCAACCUAUGAAUGGCCAAGCCACGCGUCCAGAUCUUUCAUUAAAAAAAUGUCGAGAAAAAGGACACACUGCAGCUCAGUACCUACCUUCUUGAGAGCAACAUGCUGCUACAGCACAUCAUCAAAAGUUUUGGAUCCGAACUAGUCAAACCAUGCGUCCUAAAACAUUAUCUUGAGCAGUGAUGCUGCCGCCUUCAUAUCAACACGAAAAAGCGGGAUAUGAUGGACUAUUACGGAAAACAUGUUCUGGACAAUUUACAACCACCUGUUCUCUCAUGGAUAAUGAAGAGAAAAGGGAUAAGAAUAAAGAGAAGAAAGGAAGAAAAAGAAAAGGAAGGAUUUGCAUCGCUACGAAAUAAUCUAAUUUUUAUACCUCGCUAUCAGUACGCUAAUUACCAGGCGGAGUCUAGACAGUAGGUUUUGAGAAGGGCAACACGACAGGUGUUACACUACACUUGAUUGCAGCAGCAGCUCUCAUCUCCAGCAGAUCUGCAUUGUGCCUUUUCUUUCCGGUAUAACUUCUUCAGUAGGUGCUGUUCAGCUGAGCUGGAGCUGAGAAAGGAGCGAGGGAUUUUGCGGGAAGGGUGACACCGCCCCCUCGGAUAGAGACCGAGGGGCUUUUGCUCCAGCUAGCUUUGCUCAUGGCAUUUGAGUCAAGGAAUAUCACAACGACGGUUAUAUCGUCAUGGAAAUGCCGCCUCACCCCGCGGUCGAUUUUCUUGAGGUCUGAAUAUCUCAUCUCCCUCUUCUUGGCUGCUUCUUGCAUCGCGACUUUCACUAGCUUUCGAGCGAUUCCCUGGUGGAAGGAAAUCACAAUGUUUUAAAGUAGGAAGCAAACAAUACCAAGCCAAAGGAUACAUGAAUUCGACAAAGAAAGAGGUAGCAAUCCAGAGCUGUGAUAUGGUUAAUGAAAGCAACUUGUGCUAUGUUUUUUUUUGCUUUGAUAGUUUGAAUUGACUUGUGCUAUGUUGUUUGGAAUGCAUUUGAAUUUAGGAGGAAGUGAACAAAAGAAUACUCCAAAUGAACAAAUAGGCAUCCAGGAGAAAUGUGUGGCAGUUAGAAAGUUUAAGGUAUCACAAUAAAACGAUGAGUGGGUUCGAUAUAACUAAUCAAAUCAAUGAAGGAUUCAUUUAACAGUGGUGAAGAACCAAGUGCUGUGCAAUGCUUAAGCUCUGCAUUCUAAGUUGUGAGUUACAUCCAGAUUUUAGAUGUAUAUUGUAUUCUAACACCCAAAAAAGUCACCACCAGUUCAGCUUGAUUCAAACAAUUAUAGUAUUUGAAAAGCCUCAUAUCAUAUAUUUCACUUAACGCCAAAAAAACUAACACGUUCAUUUUAAGAGAGAAAACACAAUCCAAUGAAAGCACAACAUAAUUCAACAUCUGUUUAUCUAUCCAGUAAAUGGAACAAAAUUGACAAAUAGAUUCCAACCCAUUGCAAUUGUAGCAGAGGAGAAGAAGUCAUACAUUACGGGGACUAUUCUGGACAAGGUCAACUGCUUCCUGAUUGCUGAGAUGCUCCCAUAGCCCAUCAGAAGCAAAUAUAACAAACUGAUCGUUGGGCUGUAUUCUGUGUUCAGUAAUUUGAGGAUCAGAGCUAAGAAUUGGCUUCUGGAAGGUUUCUCGAAGCCGAAACUUGCUAUGAAGAGGUUCUCUGUUAAACUCCGGUCUCUUUAGAUAUACAUCUCCGAUAGAUCUUGAGAUCUGCAGAUAUGACCUUACCACAUAAGCAAUAGCAUGGAUAAAGCAUAUUGACAAGGCUCCAACGCACUCAAAGUGUUAAAUUAGCUUGAUGGUUAUGUGAAUAAACGAAUAAAAUAUUAAUCAAUAGCAACACUAAAUACAUCGUUUUCUCCUGUAUAUGGUGCACUCACCUUUCAGUAAAGUGAAAGCACAAAUAGGAGGACAAGUGUUAUCAGUGCAGUAACAUAGUAUAUUGGCCCAAAGGUUACAUCUUACCAUCCACAUUUAUUUUUGAGAUAUAUGACAAGUAUGUUGCAUGAUUAUUGACAGCUGAUAAUGGACCUUAUGAUGACGUAACUAUAAAGAAUGCAGAUAACUUUAGCUCUAGGAAUGAGACCAUACCCAAUACCUAACUUAUGAGAUAAUGCGAAUACAAAAGUAAUUAUCCAUACCCCACAAUGAGGAAAGUGUGACUAUAAUGAGAACAACAGAUGAUGUCAAAAGUUCGAAUGCUUUCAAAAACUAAUUAGCUAGAUGAGCCUACCCAAUAAAGUGGCAAAUUAGCAACCUGAUGUUAGAGUACAGAUUUUUGUUUACCUGGAUGAGACCCUUCACACGCCAAACAUUGUGUUUUAGAACCACAAUUUGUGGAUCAUCAGGAUGUGCUGACUGCAGCUCUUGUCUAACUUCCUCGUAGCACGCAUUGUGCUCCGACGACAACUGCAUGGCCAGAACCUCCCCAGUUGCCUUAACAAGCCUUCCAAGAACUGCACGUGAGUCGCCGAGGUUCGCGACAUAGAGAGUCCCAGAACAAAUUACACCCACUAGGCAACAGGAGCCUACUGAUGCAAUCUGAGGCUUCAAAGCCCAUUCCCUGCUGACUAGAGAAAGAAAGCCCUCCUCAGUUGCUUGGAAAGCUUUCCGGAUCACAUCCACUGAGAUGCACUUGUGCUCAGUUGCAAAUUCUGGAAAAAGAAAUAAUUUUAAUACAUCGAACAAAUAAAGAAAACUGAUAAUAAGUAAGGUAACACACUCAAGACAGUAUCAGCAAAUAAAUCGAUGUGUCGAUGUCUUUUUAUUUCUUGCAAAAACCUGACACAAUUCCAACUGCCAUCCCAUAUCUGGUCAUGAUAUGCAAGUUUACCAAUCAGAUCUAUCGAACCAAUGAUAAUUUCUGCGGUGAAAGCAAUAAGUACCAAUGCACUUUUCGAGACAUACAGUCAACAUCGUCAUCAUGCUAAUAGUCGUAGAAAUGCAACCCAUAAUCAAAUCAACACAGCAAAAGUUAGGAUUAGAUCAUUGCAUCAUCAUCAGUGCCUCUAAAACUAAGUAAGGGGGGAAAAAAGAAAAGAAAUCAGCAGCAGCAACUUUCGCAUAUAGAGAGCCCUUACUCAUGAGAUGGUUGAAGAGGUGGUCAUUGAUGAAUCGGGACGUCUCCGGGCCGCCAUGGCCAUCAUAGACGCCGACGAAGGUGCCCUGCGGGCCGGGGUCAGCCAAGGAGAGCGAUCCGGACUCCACCUGGCUCUGGUCCUCGAGCAGCUGGUUGGCCUGCACCACGGCCAUGGAGAACUCCCCGGUGGCGAGCUGGCCGGCGUCCUUGUACCAGAGGAGACCUUCCUGCCGGCCGGCCGCGUCGGAGCCCUUGCCCCGGUGCCCGGCCCGAGAUCGCGGGCCCCAGCAGGAGCUGAAGUAGUCCAUCACUGCGGCCAGCAUCCCUCAUCUCAUCGCCCUCCCCUCCACGCGGUUUCUUGACGGCAUGCUCAAGGGACCCAGCCCGCUCCUAACUUCACCGCCCUUUCAGCCUCUUCUUCCCCUGUGCAACCGAAACAACAGACGCAAUCAAAGCGAGUUAAAAGUCAAUAAUUUCUAUGCGCCUGAGCUGGUGGAUCGUAUGCAGGGAUCAAGAAACUGCAUCGAACUCAUCAUCUCGUAUGCAUCAAGCGUCGUCCAGCGUAAGCAACAAAAAACAGAUCAAGAAGCAACAAUUGAAGCUUACCAAUCGGAGCUAAGACUACGCGACGGACAGUUUGGCAAUGGUGGACGGAUGAGGAGGGAGAAGAAAAGGGCCUCACCUUUUUCCCUAAGAACUCCCUGUCGAGUUCGUGCUCGAUUCCUGGAAUCCACCGAGCAGGUGGCUCGGAUCUGGAGAGCAAUCAAAGCCCGGGCACACGAACAGCAAGGAUUAGUUGGACUGGCGGCUGCUCUCCGGGAUCAAAGAGAAUCAAGCAGGAAGCUGGAUAAAAAAUUCUCCUUAUGCCCCCCUUGAGCUCUCUUUUUCUCUCUCUGGCAGGCAGCUCUGCCCAAUCUAAUCUAUCCUGCAGACUGGAUGAAUCAGCUCAGAGCUCUCUCCUCUCUCUGAUGCUGGGAACUAGUACGCGCCCACAUGAGCACAAGCGCAAAUCCAAGGAGACAAAAAACCCAAUAAAAGAAGAAGGGGAGCGACCAGAGAGGGGAGAGAGAGGUCAGAGCCAGCAAGGCAGGGCGCAGGAUGGGCUCUGCCAAUCCUAAUUUGUGUGCGACCUGUGGUGGCGUAGGGCUUUGUUCGGUCCCUUAAAUCAGUUUCCACCCAUUUCGAUUCACCCAACCUGCAAGAAAAGCACCUUUUCUAAUGACCUUCUUACUUUGACAGUAUUGGCAUUAUUUUGCAUAGACGUAACAAUACUCCUUGAGUUAGGGCUUUUUUGGAGUGUAAUAUAUGGAUUUCAUACAAAUACACGAAGAAAUCAGCUGAAUUUCCACAUGAUUCAAGAUAAGAUCCGCAUUCCAAAGGAGGUCUUCGUCAGGUAUUAGUCUCCCUCAAUUCGGUCAACUUUUGUUUCUUGUCAUAUUUCUUAGGCUAUUCUUGUUUACACUCUACCACCGAGGUACAAAUUGACUUGAUAGGGUAGAGUAACAGUGUCUACACGAGCAAUAGGUCAAAGAGUUGCUUUCUCUCUUAUGAUGAUAACAAGCAUGCACUUAAAAUUUUCUGGUUAAAAUCGUACACUUGAAUUUUACCAGAGAAAAAGAAGUGCACUUGAAAACUUCCUUUUCCAUAUUAAACGGGUGGCUUCAUCUUUCAUCAAACGAAGCGUGCGUCGGCUCUGGAAUGGCUAACUCGUUGCUGUAAAGGAGAGCGUAACCGAUGGAGCUACGGUGACUCGAGCACAUCACACUGGAAUGAAUGAGAAUGAAUAGGAAGAGGCCAAACGACAUGACAAGAGCGUGUACGCGAUGUGGCUUUGUUCCGAUGCCGGAUGAGAGCUUGGACGGGUCAGACAGGUGUGUGCGCGCGCUGCGGUCCCUAUCCCAUUCCUCUGGACCCGUUUAGUUGUUGCUGAAAACUUUUCUCGCUGAAAAACAAGGCACAAAAAGAAAAUCAUUCGCGAGCUGAGGAGAGUAGUUGCACUGGCACAGUAGCACUCCACGUUUCUCAGUUUUUCACACGGCCUGCAUGAUCUGCAGUGACCUGCCUGGUCGGUUACUACGAUAUGCCGUGCACGGCAUAUUCCCAAAGCAAAUGCCUUAUCUGUAGCUGCAAAUACAUUUUCUGGAGAUGAAUCCGGGGAACGGGCAAGGCGGUGACUGGCAGUCAUGUAGACGGCGACAACGAUGACGAAACACAAGGUUUGGACUUUGCAGCCUUCAGCCUUGCAGGCGGUAUUUCGUUUUCGGAGCGCCCAUGGUUAGAUCUGGGGUGGGAUGUGAUGUUCCUGUUAUCUCCAACUAAGGGCUUUUAAAGAUGGAAAUGAUGAUGCUUGGACUCCGGAGAAAAGUCUUGAAGAUGGCCGCCAUUUGUAUUCCGAACACAACAAGCUGCUCGAUCGCCUGGCUAUAUGAAAAUCAGUGCGACUUACUCUAAAAAACAGUGUAGAAAACUCGUUUUCAUAUGCAUGCUACUACUGUCUAGGGCUACGAAUCAAUAGGCAAUUAAAAGAUACGCAGUCUCAGGAAGGCAAAACGUUACAACUUGUGAGUAAAGUACCGAUUUUUUUUAAAAAACGUAUAAAGUACCGAUUCAUAGUGCGACUUUUUGGUGCCUGGAAGGCUUCAACUUUUAUUCCCCCAGAAAUUGCUGGAAGACGUCAGGGGGAAAGCAACUUCACAAUUUUAGCAGCUGAGCUAGCGUUGCAAGGUUCAGCCUCUCACUAAUAGAGAGUACCCCCCCCCCCCCCCCCCCCCUUGAGGCCUUGACAGCACCUUGUUUGAGUGGAUCAAUCCUCCAGCUUAUCUACCUAAUCAGGUCAGCAGCACGACGUAUCACUCGCAAAGCCUUUCCUGUCAAGGACCGAGAUCCCGGCCAAAUCCGGCUUCACGCACUCGGACGGCGACUAAAGAUUGACCCGCGGGUGAGAGAGUUGAGAGUGAGGGUGAGCAGAGUACCCUGUAAAGUUAAAAGCAGAGCCCUUGAUCGUUCGUUACCACCGCGCUGACACACUCCCCGCACCGGGGGCGCCGGGGUCAAUGGGGUGGCGAAGGGAAAUGCGCAGGAUUUGAUGGCGAGAGCGACCAGAUUAGGUCGUGACAGAGCGGCGUGGUCCACACCCCACUCAUGGGCAUGGCAGCCCCAACGCCCGGCACUCGCUCAUCAGCUCAAGCCAAGCCCCGGGCACAGGGCGGCCACGGCCACCUCCUCUCCUCUCGUCGUGCGCGCUCUCGAGAGCAUGCUGGCCUGCUGGGUGACGGGAACGGGAGGGGAAGGGGGCUUGGACGAACGAGAGCUGGUGCCUGCGGGGCGGGGGCCGGGCGGGGGUCCUAGCCGCGCGGGGGCGAUGGUCGAAUGUAGACGGACGGUUGGGCGAGUGGCCUAAUCGCGCAACUAGGCGACUAUGCGCGUGUCGGGCGGCCGGCCGGGUGGGGGAUGCGUGCCGUGCCGAGGUGCCUGCCUGCCGGGGCUGGUGGUGGUGGCGGCGGCGGCUUCCGAUAAUCCCUUUCGCUCCGCGCCAGCGUCCCCCGCGGCCCCGGCGGGCGGCGGCCAAUGUCCGCUAGCCCGUGCGCCCGCGGGACGAACUGGCAUCCGCAUCGCAUCGCAUCCCAUGGCGUGGCCGCGCGCGCUCCGGGGGGGACCGAGACCACCAGACCCCCCCAUCGGCCGGUGUCGACGGCCGCGGGGUGCCCUACCGGCCACCCCGCCAGCCUGCCCGCAGCCAGCCGGAGCGCGUCGCGACUCGCGAGUGGCCAAGCAAGACUCGAGGCGGCGUCGUACGGGCCCGCUCGUCGAUCGCCAGGCAUACAUACGUAGCGCCCCGCCCGUCCAUGCAAAACGUGCGUGCGCUGCAGACACGAUUGCUCACGGAUUGCUGGACCGACCGGGGCGGCCGGCCGGCCCCGCGGCGAUCCCCACGAGCGACCGGUACGACCACGCUUGGCUGGCUGGCUGUUACUUGUUGCCAGCAGGUGUCCUACAUUCACCUUGCCGUGCUACCCUGCCAUAGAUCGGUCCAAGCGGGGAUGCAAGGCUGGAUGGACAUUGCAGGGAAGCGAGCACGCACUUCAAUAAUUGACCCCAGAAAGCUAAGCUAGCCCUCCACGAACGAAUGAACCAAGACCCAACCGCCUCCAUGCCGCUGGUCCCUCUACGGAGAGCAGUCAGUCCGGGCCGUCCGAUUCGUUGUGCGCGUCCGGCCCGCAUGUCAUCUGAGCCGUCCGAUACGUUCCUAUUUCUGGUAACGCUAGCACGGCGGCUUUUACAAGCUGCUGUUUUCUAAUCCCGAUUUUCGCGGUGUUUGGAUACAAGAUACUAAACUUUAGGCUGGGUCAUAUCGGAUGUUCGGACGCUAAUUAGGAGGACUAAACAUGAGCUAAUUAUAAAAAUAACUGCAGAACCCCUAUACUAAUUCGCGAGACGAAUCUAUUAAACCUAAUUAAUCCAUCAUUAGCAAAUGGUUACUGUAGCACCACAUUGUCAAAUCAUGGACUAAUUAGGCUUAAUAGAUUCGUCUCGCAAAUUAGACUCCAUCUGUGUAAUUAGUUUUGUAAUUAGAUUAUAUUUAAUACUUCUAAUCAGUAUCUAAACAUCUGAUGUGACAUGUCAUAAAUUUUAUGACCUCGCGUCCAAACAGGCCCUUUGUUGACGUGCUCGUUCCAAAACGGCAUCACUGAUGGGAUCUCUGUACAUAGUUGCAUACCAUCCUCUCUCGCCUACGGCCUACCCUCAUAUGGCCAUAUGCUUUUGCUAGCUGGCUAGCUGCGGUGCUUGUUGAGUCCUGGAGAAGCUAGUUUAAAAAAAAAGUCCUGGAGAAGCUAGCUGCGUGCCCAUUGCCUCAUUCACCCGUGGGAUGAGGGGAUGGUGCAUGGGCGGUGGGCUACGUGAUCGCGUCAAAUCUCCAGUCUCUAGGUUUAGCCACUGGAAUAGGGGUGAGACGUGAGAGGCCGUCACUGCCGCAGCACUGCCCCGCCGGCGGCGUGUCCGCGUGUUUGUGCGGUGGGUAGAGGGGGUGUUUGGUUGCACGGAAUAAAUUUCGGUACUUGUCAUAUCCAAUAUUUAGAUACUCCCUCCGUUCCAAAUUGUAAGUCAUUCCAAGAAUCUUGGAGAGUCAAAGCAUCUCAAGUUUGAUCAAAAUUAUAGAGAAAAAUAUAAAGACUUAUGACAUCAAAUAGAUAUACUAUGAAAAUAUAAUUGAUAAAGAAUCUAAUGAUACUUAGUUGACAUCAUAAAUGUUAUUAUAUUAUCAUAUAAAUUUGGUCAAACUUGAGAUACUUUGACUCUCCAAGAUUCUUGGAAUGACUUACAAUUUGGAAUGGAGGGAGUACUAAUUAGAAAGAUUAAAUAUGAGCUAAUUAUAAAACUAAUUGCACAAAUGAAGGCUAAUUCGCGAGAAGAAUCUAUUAAGCCUAAUUAGUCCAUGGUUUGAUAAUGUGAUGCUACAAUAAAUAUAGGCUAAUCAUGGACUAAUUAGGCUUAAUAGAUUCUUCUCACGAAUUAGACUCCAUCUGUGCAAUUGAUUUUGUAACCAGUCUAUGUUUAAUACUUCUAAUUAGUAUCUAAAUAUUUGAUGUGACAGUGAUUAAACUUUAGUACGUGGAAUCGAUGAGGAUGACCAGAACGAGAUGACAAGGCACUGCCCCUACAUAACAGCAUUGACCUACCAGCGCGAAGUGCUAGCUAGCUACCGAAAUAGACAAGGCGCGUACGUGAUCUUGGUGAAUCGCCACGUUUUCCAUGGGUUCAGCACCAGCAGCUAGCGAGUCCGAGAUGAUGGUCAAAUUGCGCAGGAGACGACAGAAGAGGAGUAAUACUGGCUCGACGAGUAUGGGGGUGACUGUUGACUAGCUAUCGUAGCGGUCUCCAUUGACGACGGUGAACUAUUGAACGGGUGCCUCCCUUGAUUGCCAGGAGCUGCGGUUAGCGUCGAUCCGCCUCGGCAUGUGGAAGGCGAUCAGUGCUUGACCGGAAGUUGAAUUUUCUUGCCCCACCGCGAGGCACGCCCAGCCUGUCGCUACAGCAGCCAGAUGGUACCAAUUGUUCCCAUGCUGAUCAAAAUCGAUCAGACCCAUCCAUCCAUCCCCAGCCUCCCUGACCUGUCGCCCUGACUGCCGCAUGCAUCGACGACUCGAUGCAAUUUUUCUCACAGCGACUCCUUCCUUCAAGAAUCGAGAUGCUUGGGUUUGCCCUAUGCUAUACAUCAUGCAGGAGCGUGCACAGCACUGCAUUUGAGUAUACAGUACAGCCUAGUAGAGGGCCGGGCGACGAUGUGAUAGAUACCAACCAAGGCCGGAACGUAGCUGCUGCUGUGCCUGUGGCCUGUGCGCACGAAGAUACAAACAGGAGUCUGCACGGGAAUCUUCUCCGUUGUUUCGCUCGUGCCAGCAGAGUGUAGUCACGGUCGAUGCAUGCAGCUUGCAGGCUGGAGGUGACGCCGGGAAAGGCUGCCUCCCCGGCACCAAGGCAGCCGCGCGCUCGUACGUGUGACGACGACUGUGUCUGUGUGUGUGCUGUGCUCUAUCGCCAGGCACCAGCUUGCAGGCGGAAUCGGACAGUGACACAACGAUAAGCCUGUCGUCCAUGCCAACAUCGACUGCUCUCGGCCGAUGCACGCGUGUGCUGCAUGGAGGAGUCAAUGAAUAAAGCGUAGCUUCUCUUUUUUUAAAAAAACGAAAAUAAAGCGUAGUAGCACUGUUCUAAGUCAGAAUCUACCACCUUCGUUUCAAAUUAAUAUUCAUUUUAACUUUUUUAUUGAAGAUACUAUAUAUAUGUAGUAGAAAAUAAAUAGUAAUUUGGGAUGGAGGUGGAUUAAAAGCGAGGAAACUCGUCGAAACCAGCUUUGCCGUCGCCGUUCCCGAUGAAUCGGUUGCACUGCGCGCCAUUUUGAAUUCUCCCCCAAAUCGGUGAGAGAAUCGUCGCUGGUUGGUGCCCCCAAAACCUUUUGCAGGCACGACGCACGUAUACAGAUACGAUACAGCCAAGCAAAAACCGUAUGGGACGUCGUCGUCGUCGUCCCUAGGCUGCGAGACGACGACGGUGUGUGCUCGCUCGAGCUCGAUGGACCAGCCGUGGUCCCGCUCCAGCUAGCGCGCAUUGCUCCGCUCGCUCCUCUCUUCUGUUGUCCGCAGGCGGCCGGGCAGAGGGGUACAGUACAGGUCGAGGGUGACGCGGCUGCGUGCUGCGUCGUCGGUCGUUGCAUUGCUUGCAAAUCGUCGCGUCCGUCCGCUCGGGCUCGUCACGGGCCCAAUAAUCAAUCGCGCAUAUUAAAAAGGCUAUGCAGGCGCUAGCAACUAUAGCUCUAGCUAGCUGCGCACCAAAAUUUAACAAAAAGCGGAGGCCAGUUGCCUGUACGGAUGGAUGGGCACGCAUGCACGCACGGCGCGAUCGAGCUGUGACAAACCAUGUCGCCCCAGCUACAACCUUAGGGUUCCUCUCCUUUCCGACAUCCCCUGUUCCUCACCACGCACCGCGGCUGCUGCCUGCUGGUAACACGUUUUUUCCCCGGCCCUGUAGCUAGUUCUCGCGUAACUAGUUUCGGAGCUGUCUAGAGCUGAGGCAGCGGCAGGCAACCUGAUUCGUUGAACACCACGCGUACAUCGAUGUAUACUGUACAUACCAGCUAUCGCAAGUGGGUGUUACUAUAUGUUGCAGCAGAGCGAAUAAACAAGAACUGUGAGAGCAGCAUGCUUAUCUCUCUUAUCUCAGUUUCAUGCAUGCGCUGGCCGUGAUAAGGAGCCUGCCUACGUGGUGUGGAUCGAGGAGUAGGUGGGGAUAUACGAGUACAGUAUAUAAGAACACUGGCAUAUGCUCAGGCCACACCGAUUCAGUAUUCCGUUGCAGCAGCAAGUUGGCAUAGUAUAUCUUACACGGCUAGCUAAGCUGCUGCUAGUUUUCUACUCCGUAGCUUACUGGCGUACGUACGUGAAAUUAGUUUAAUUCGUCCCAGUACGUCAGUGUGCCUCCCUACUCCCUAGUCAACUUUACGCUGGUUUAUGCGCGAUCUGGAACCCACUUGCACGUUACUGAUACGUCAGAUAUACGUGGAUCCUCCACUAGCGAUCUGACGACUGGAUAAGUGGACGAGGAAGACGUACGGUGCAUGUGUUGUUGAUGAAUAGCGGAAGUCAACGACUAGCUAUCUGAUCUACUACUGUCUACACAUUGUUAGGGCCGGGAAUCGAUCGAUCGAAUGAUCAACCCUAAAGCUUUGCGAGUUUGCAUGCCAGCGGGGCAGCUGACAGUGGGUCUACUCUUCUGAUGAGCUCAGGAGACCGAUCGAGGUGCAGGUGACCCCCACAAAUCGCAAUUGAAGCGAAAGUAACGCUCCCAUUUUCAAUUUGUUGCAUGCAUUUUUAGCAUCUUACUCUGAAACUGGAUGCACGCGACAAAAACUGUACCCCGCUAUCUAAUCCUGUCGACAAGAAUCAUGGCCGUCAUUUACGAGCAAAUACAUUUUUUAAAAAAUAAUCUGAUACUGCUAGUCGGCACGUACAAUGCACGAAGUAGAAUCGAUGUACUCCUGUCGGCACUUGGCUUGGUCUAGUAGUAGAUUUUAGAGAGAGAGCAAUCAAACUAAGUGGCCCGUAUAUAUCUCCAUCCGCCUACAAGAGAAUAAAAAUAGGGGAAUGUGUUGUCCUGCCGCCGCUACGUGCCAAAACCAAAAGGCACAGAUUAUGAACCGAGAAGAAGGCUCUGGCCGUAGAUUUCAAGAUCAUAACCAACUCCGUACCAACAAAAGGCGCCACAUCCUUGCAGUUGCCAGCUUCCUCGAACGAGCCAUCCCCAGGUGCAUCAGUGCAUGCCUUCCAAAUCCGCAAGUCGCCGUUCUCCGUUUCACGUCACCUUACACUAACGGGUGUUUGUAUACCAUCAGCUAAAGUCACUUGUCAUAUCGGAUAUUUGAUACUAAUUAGAAGUAUUAAAUAUAGACUAAUUACAAAAUUAAUUGUACAAAUGGAGUCUAAUUCGCGAGACGAAUCUGCUAAACCUAAUCAGUCCAUGAUUUGAUAUUGUGGUGCUACACUAACCAUUUGCUAAUGAUGGAUUAAUUAGGUUUAAUAGAUUCGUCUCGCGAAUUAGCUCAGAGGUUCUGCAAUUAGUUUUAUAAUUAGUUCAUGUUUAAUCCUCCUAAUUAGCAUCCGAAUAUUUGAUGUAACACUGCUAAAAUUUAGCAACUAAGUACCCGAACACCCCUUUGACCUUUCGUUUGGUAAUGAACGCACGCAGAACGACGUAUUUGAAUUUAGAUACGCAGAGGUAGCCCUGUUAAUUGGGUUGUAACCCAUGUUGUAACCACACCAAUUUAUUCUCAUAAGAAAAUAAAUAUAACCCACCCUAAACCAAACCUCCACUAUCACACACCACACCACCCCAAACUUACUAUUGCAUAAGUUAUACAAAUUACUUGCCAAAUAUGGUUACAACCCAAUAAGAACCCAUUAGGUACCCAAUAAAAACCCAUUAGUUAACUUUUUUUUUGAGUUUGUAUGUGACUCUCAACGUGGGGCCCACAUGUAAGUCUAGCCAUACUACUUUGCACAAAGUAGCGGACUGUCAAGCUAAUUCAUCUGCAACAAGUUUCGGCCAAUUCAUCCAAAAUUUUAAGGUGUGAACACGAGGUUUUAGUUUUAGGGUCCGACUCUUGACGCGGGCCCCACAUGUAAGUCCAGCCGUACUACUUUGCAUACAGUAGCGGACUGUUAAACUAAUUCAUCUGUAACAAGUUUCGAUCAAUUUAUCCAAAAUUUUAAGGUGUGAACGCGAGGUUUUAUUUUUAGGGUCCGACUCUUGAUAGAUGAGGCUCCAGGCUUUUGGGUUCUUAAUGGGUCUCAACCCACAGGUUGAGAGUCUUUUAGAUCCAAAAAUAAUACCACACACCCCAAACACCUUCCAAACUAUUUAUUUGUAAAACCUAAACCAAACCAAACCAUCUAGCAGGCCAACUCAUUAUAAACCAAUUCAAAUGAACUUAUUAUAUAAACCAAACCAUUAAAACCAAUAAACCCAACCCAAUUAACAGGGCUACGCAGAGGACACGCAGAUUCGUCGUCUAACCCAGGGGCAGUGAUCAUCAGGUGCAGCGUCGCCUGGACCAGACCAACACGCUGGUCUUCUUCGGCCUUGACGACGAGCCGCCCUGCCCAACUAAUCUAUUCACCGCUGCUGACUGCUCCGCCCGAAUCUGGCCGGCCGGCCGGCCACGCAAGCGGCCGUCUCGGCCACCCAUCGCGCCUGCCGACCAAUCAUCCCCCACGCACAAGUGGCCACGCAUGCGUCCCGCGAGCUUUUUUCUAAGCGCAAGUGCCGGAAUAGUUUAGGUCCUGUUUGGGAGGAGGGUGCUAAAAUUUAGUCCUGGACUAAAUUUAGUCCUGGACUAAAUUUUAGUCCUCUCAAAAAGAGUGCUAAAUUUUAGCCUUUGGGGGUGUUUGGGAGGGAGCCUAAAGUUUAGCAACUGCUAUACCAAAUGACCCUUUUACCCCUGGAGCGGCAUGAGCCAGAGGUGCCGGACGUGGCGGCGAGGGUGCGCAGCGUGCGCGGGCCGGAGGUGGUGACGCGCGCGAAGAGGCCCUGGAGGAAGUAGGACGCCAGCUUCUGGUCCACAUCCCCGUACGGCGAGGCCAGCUCGUUGAGCAUCCACAUGAGCUGUUGCACGCGCUGGCUGUCGCGCGCGGCCACGGCGCGCGCGCACUACAGCAGUAGCUGCGCUGCCCACCUCCCGACGCCGCCGCCGCCCGACGAGGAGCGGCAUGAGCCAGAGGUGCCGGCGAGCAGCGCCGUCAGCGCGGGCGCCGCGAGCGCCGUCAGGCCGCGGGGGCGGGCGGGGCCGGCAGAGGCGGCGGGGUCGGCGCGGGGCUGGGUGGGGCCAGCCGGAGGUCGCGGCGGCGGGGGCGGGCGAGGUGGAGGCGGCGGGGUAAGGCGGCGGCGGCGGGGCCGGCCGAAGGUCGCGGCGAAGGCGGCGGGCGAGGUGGCGGGGCCGGGUGGGGCCGGCCGGAGGUCGCGGCGGCGGCGGCGCGGCGAAGGCGGCGGGCUAGGUGGAGGCGGCGGGGCCGGCGCGGAGGUCUGGGAGGCGGAGGCGAAGGGAGAGAGAGACAGGGGAGGAGAGAGAGGGGAGGGGGCAGGGGGGGAAAGUGGUCCGGAGGACCACUUUUUAAUCCAUUUAGUCCAUUUUAGCUACCCCAAGUGACUAAAUGAUUAGUGGGGGGUUAAAGUUUAGCCCACAAGAUUUAGCCCACCUGUUUGGGAAGCUUGGGGGCUAAAAUAGACUAAAGUGGCUCUCCCAGACACCCCCUUAGCCGUCGAGGGUCGGGGACAAGUCGCGGCUCGCGUUUCCGGAACCGAGGACCGGCUCGAUCCCCUUCCGGCGGCAAUCGUCGGGAGCCAGGCCAGCCGCAGCCAGCCUGGGAUUAAACAAGGGGCCGUGCCCGUGAGCUGCAGGUUCGGCGGACGGAUUACUUGAUCAACCGGUCUUGUCUGCCCGUCCAUGUCACUACAUGAGGAAAUCGAGCCGAAUUGUAAGCGAGCGGCGUGGGGGAGUCGAGUCGAGUCGAGUCGCGGCCUGUCGAUCACAUGACGUUGAUAAUAAUAAUUAAGUUGGUGGCGCAUGGCACUAUGGCAGUGGCAGGGCACGGCGCGUUUACGUAGCGGCGAGAUUUGAUUUGUGGCGCGACAGCCUCGUGACCGAGCAGGAUAAGUUUGAUAAUUUCACGUCGUCGAUCGGGGUUCGGUUCAGAGGGAGUUAAAAUCUUAAAUGGCGCCACCCACAUGACCACUUCACUGCAUGCCCCUGCACCAGGUGAUGAUUGGGCUGACGGGUUUGAUAAUGGCCUGUGGCCAGGACGACCUCAGGAGUCAAUGGCCUGUAGCUCCAGCAGUGCACAGCGUCGUCGUACGUCCGCGUCAGAUGAGAUGGUUUCUGUUUCCGAAUUUCCAAGAGUUGUUUUAUGCAGCGGUUUGAAACGGCAAACGGCGUAGAAAAUUCAAAAUAUACUACUAGUAUAGCAAGUGGUGUCUGGUGGGUCGUUGGAGACUUGUAUUGCCAAAAAGGAACAAUUGAAGAAUGAAAAAAAAAGAAGAAGAAGAAGAAGGAAAAACAACAAGGGUGGGGAUAGGAGAAUAGAAGGGAAAACAAGAGGGGGAAAAAAGGAAAAACGUGACAUAGGCCGCGUCACAAUGUCUUGUGGGCCGGCCUGUAAUAAUAUGGGCCGCAAGUGUUUGAUGAUGUGGGGGCAGGCAGGGUGGCCGAGUACCUGGGCCGUAGAGAAGCUCUCAGGGGAGGGUGUGUGCCUUGAGAGAAGAAGCUUGUGCUUCACGCGAGGCCCAGUACAAGCAAAGUAAUCAAAUAACCUAUCUGUCUAUCGAUGGAUCGAUCUAUCUAUCAAUAUAUAUACUAUAAUAUCUAUAUAUACUAUAAGAUCCAAAACAAUUAAAAAUGAUUUUGUUUUUCAUCCAAAAUAAUUUUUCCGUACCUCUCACAGAGAAUCCACCUGUUAGGUUGAUAGGGUUGGAAAGUGUUGGAAAGAACUCUACUGUUUCCCUCUCACUUUUUUCACCUCAACUUUAGAUUACCCACCCGCCGUACCCACUCUGAAAUUUCCAUCGCCCACCCGACAAAUCAGGUGCCCAGUGCAAAUUUGUUUCCUUGUUUGCUAUACAUACUGGCGCAUGAGCAAAUUUAUUUCCAGAAUCACCGCAGGUGCAUUUUCCUUGUGUGUACAGGAUCACCGCAGGUGCUUGUUUCCUUGUUUGCAUGCCGAUCUUGCUAUGCAAGGCUCCAAUCACGUCUGACUUGACGUCCCAAGGCCGGAUACGAUGGCUGCGCAUGAAAUCAUCAAUACGAUCGGCAGUGCGUAUGUACCAUUACCGAAGUGUAGAGCGGUGAUCAAUCACCGGGAGGAUCGGUCACAGCAGGCAGGUGAGUAUAGAUUUAGUUUACAUAUUGUCCCAAAUGUGUUUCAGUUUGUUUUCUUAUUAUCUCCCUAAUGCUGGCGGCACCUGAACUAACACGCAUCACAUGCAAUCUCCAGUUUUUUAUUAGUCAGCAUAAUUUUGCUUGAAAUCACAUCACACUGUGUUUCCUUUUCUUAUGCUUGAAAAAACUUCCAUUUCAUUUCUCCUGGUUCACAUCAUCACGCAUUGUUUCCCUUCCAUGUCGAGGUGAUCACACCUCCAUUCUUCUUCUUUCUCUUUCACCCCAUGACUUACUCCGUGUUUGAUCCACUGCGAGUUGGAAGGACGGCGCCUCGCCUUGCUUCCUCUGCUCUAUCUGGCUCUGCCACGCACCGCCGUCGUUGCAAGGUCAUCUAUCCCCGACUGCUCAUUGGCCGCUCGCCCUCCUUCGCUGGUGCCAGAGAUGCGACUGUCUUUGCACGCCCGCAUGUCGGUAAUUCUCCCCCGUCUGCACGAGAUUAGGGGCGACGACGUUCCGGGACCUCUUGGGGCUCCCGGAAGGCGUGAAGUCCAAGCAUACAGUGCGAGAGGCCAGGUCGGCACGUUAUUGUGCAAGUGCUCCUCCUCGAACAGUAUUUUGCAAUACAUAAAAUUUAGUACUCAAAGUGUUUUUUUCUAUUGCAGAUUAAUCUUUUACUAUAAUAUUGUAGUGCCAUUUUAUAACGCAUCAAUUGUUUUCUUCUAAUGGAUCGUCAUCCUCCAACUGGUGAUGUGGAGAAUGUACGGGGUUUCAUCUUUGGAAUUUUUUUUUAAAAAAAGAAAUAGAGUUGUCAGCUAGGACUAAGUGCUCAAAAAUUCAGUUUAGUGGUCCAAAACUUUUCAGACUCAAUUCUCAGUAUCGUAUUGAUACGAGCUUAUGGAGAUACAAGUCAAGAUAAUGCGAAACAAAACAUCUAAAAAUAGCAUGAAGCUUUCGCAUAACCCUAAUGUAGAAGCUUACACGGUGGAAUUAUUAGGUUGAAGUGCGCUUAGGCUAUCAAAUUUAAAUUUUGCUUUAAUAGCAUGUUUGAUCAAAUGACAUGAUUUUUUGAGAGUAAAAUAGCAUGAUUUUUGUUUAUUAAAAUUUAAGAAAAGACAUCAUUGCCAUCUUUGCUAUAAUUAUAAAUUAUGACUCACUAGAUUUUUAUGAAUUAAAAUCAUUGUUUACUAAGUUUCUUAAAAACACGUGUGUGUCGCACGUGCAUUCUCUGCUAGUAAGUUUAUUUAAGUUACAACGUAUCUCGUCCUGGUUACCUAGGCUAGAACUUGCUUUGUGCCAGUAACCACCGAAGAUAGUUGUAACAGCCCAAAAUUCAAAUAGAAUUAAAAUCAAGAUAAAUAAAUAAAUAAAAUUUGUUUUGGCUUUUAUUUGGUUCUUCUUAUGUUUUAUGCAUUAAGAACCCUCCUUGAGCAUAUUUAAAAUGACAUAAAAAAUGGUAAUACAAAAAAUACAUCAACAGCUCCUCACUCAUCCAUUCUCUCUCUGUCCGCACAACAAACUUCUCUCAUUCUCCUUCUAUCGGCGGAUAAAAAAAAAAAUCAGCAUCUGACCGAGCUAGAAGACAUGACUGUCCUGUUUUUCCUGUCCAACUCACCUGUCUCUCACCUCUUCUCUCUCUGUCGGCAGCCACCACCAACACACAGCUUCUCUCCGCUCUGCUUUUCCCUCUCUACCGAGCAAACCAGCAGGCAGCAACACCCAGCGCUGCAUCCCUUCUCACUCUCCUCCUUUUCCUUUGCUGUCCUCUCCAAUCGAGCAAGCACCGCAGCCACAUCCUCCUCUCAGCUUUAGCAGGCAGCAGCGCCACAACUCUACUCUGUUUCUCCCUAGCAACGCAAGGCGGCGGCAGCACCCUCUCCCCUCAGCUCCACCUCCCUCUCUCCAGCGCCAUCCUCCUCACAGCAGCGGGCCAGGCCCAGCGGCGGCCGGCGGCCAGGCGCCCAAGCCUGUGGCAGGGCUCGCGCGGCCCAGCUAGCUGCGGGGCAGGGGCGCCCAGCGCGGCCAGGCCAACGGCUGGCAGCAGCCAGGCUCCGGGCGACCGGGCCAGCGGCCACGAGGCAACGGCGGCGCGGCCAAGCAGCAUCGUCGCCAGCGCGCCGAUGUCAUCCCCGGCGCUGGCGGUGGACCGCGACGUCAUCCUUGCCCCGCAAGUGUUAGGCAAAAUGCCUCAACGGCCUCCCGAAGCUACUGCCCUACACGUGUUCGACGAAAUGCUUGGACGACGACCACGAGGUGAAGCUGAAGCCACGCCGGGAACGACGACGAUGCCGCCGGCCGCAAGGACGAGGAACUGAGGUGGAGAAGACGCCGCCGAGCCUGAAGCCGGAGCUGCACGUCUACGGUGACGACGACCCCCCUGGCGCUCCACGCUGACCUCGCCGACGUCCGGAACCGAAAGCCCGCCAUCCACAACCACGAGCUCGGACCAUCCCUACGCCGUCGAUGCCGUCGCCGGGUACCGCGAGCACGGGCCUGCCUGCACCGCACCGAGCCGUCACGGCCACGCCUCGCCACGGCGUCGCUACCCUGUCCUCUCCAAGUCCCACGGUGAGCCAAGUCCCGAGGCCUCCUCCCUUGCCAGCCUGCCUGUGUUGCCGUGCCUUCGAGCUGGCCGUCUCCUGUAGGAUGACAACACCACCGCGCCGUUCACGCUCAGCCGUGGCCUCGGGAUGCCGCGAGCAGCACUCGCACACGCCCACGGACAUGGCGAGACCAUGCACCGCGCGGCCGGCCACCCUGAUCCGCCGCGGACUCGCGUAGUCGAGUGCCCGCACACUGCCGCAGCCGUGUUGCGGCCGUGGGACACCACGUCGUCACCACGCUAGCAAGCACCAACCGCACAAGCACGAGGCUUGGCCUCUCCACGCUCGGCCACCCGCUACGGCGCACCUGGCCCCGUCAUGGCCUUGAUGCGUCGCGAGACCGAGCGCACCGAACCGCCGGCCGUAUCCAUGGCACAGCCAAGUCGGCACGCGCACGGCCACGAGCACUUGCUUGUCACGACCGGCGCCGUGUGCGCACGCACUCGCACUCGGGCACGCGUUCGAGCGUGCAACACAGCAAUGGGCUGCCGCAGCUCUGCGCCACGGCCACGAGCUUGCUCGAACGGCCGUGCUCCCAGCCGCCGCACUACGCCACCACAGCCGCUCCCGCCGCUAGUUUCCGCUGCGAGCGCCCAGCCGCGUGCGCAGCGCUUGUGCCGCCUUCGCUCACCUCUCCGCCCAGCUCGAGCCGCCCGCUCCGCCCCGCAGCCUUGUGUCGUUGGCCGUCCCGCGCUCAGCCCACGUGGUGCCGCCAGACCAAGCUGCCCUGCGCACUCGCGUUGCUCUGCUCAGUUUAAAAAGGGCAGUGACAUCAUGCCGACUUAAGCGUGACAUCAUUUUCCUGUUGGAAAAUAAAAAGAGAAAUACAUUAAGAAUACAUGUCAUGUCAAUGAAAUAGAACCUCUUCAUAUGAGUUUACGACGUAAAUAAUGACAAAAAUGAUGGAAAAAUCGAAGUUAAUAUGAAUAGUUAUGUUUUCUUUUUAAUCUCAUAUCAAAACUUCAAACUUGUAUAUCUCACUCAUAUGAACUUCAAAUAACUUGAUUCUUUCUGCUAAAAUUUUCUAAAAUCAUGCUCUAUCAUCUCAUGGUGUUUAUUUAGUUGUUCAUUGUUGUUUAUUUGGUUCUUUUGCAUGUACCUUACAUUCGUCCAAUUCGAGUAGACGACGAGCCGUUCGAUACUUUGCCGGAUGCCGAGCAAGGCUCUGAUCUAAUACUCAAGAACAUGAAUGAUCAGCAACAAGGCAAGCACCCCCUUGAUCAUCUUUGCUCCUAUUUAAAUGCCUAAGCUUGUGAUUUAUAUGCAUGCGAUGAUGAUUUUAUGAGUCCAAAUGUCAUUCUGUACCGGGUAGACACAUCCUACUUUAAUGCAUAUACCUACCUUGUUAUUUUAAACCUUUUAUACCUUGUUGCCAUAAGGUUAUGGUUUUUUCGUUCGGUUCGGUGUCAUAUGCUUAGUUUGCUUAGAGCUAAUACGCGGUCACUUAAAUAGCAUCACUUGGGAGGGAUGAUUUGAAAGAUAAAUAUGGUUUAUAUUCGAAAAAUAAAAACUCUAUGGUAGAUGUGGGUGAUAAUAUGGUCUAGAGGUCUUGAUGGUAUGAGGAUAAAGAAAGAUGGAUGAUAAAAUGAAUGGUGGAUAUGACUUGGUCCUAUAUGUGUUUCCGGCGCAUUUUAGGGAUUCUCACCCGUGUCAAAUUAAGGAUCGGAAAUUGGCAUCUUCUAGUCGAAGUGUUACAGUACAACCACAUGUGCUUAAUGGGUACGGCCUUAGCUUACUAAGUCAGUUGGCCCCAAGGUGAUGUUACCGUCUGAGUGCACGAGAUGUCGUCGGUGUCGGGGUAGCUAACCCGGGCAGAUGUACGAAGGCGCUCCUACAAUCUGUUGUGUAGCAUUAUGUCGAGUCUGACUGAUGUAACAGCUUUGUCAUGCUCGCUUGCCGACACAUCUCGGAAAUGUGUCAAUUCGCGAUGGCAUCAAAGUGGAGCAUGUCGUGUGGGUAAAGUGUACAAACUUUGCAGAGUUUUAAAAACUAUUCGAAUAGCCGUACUCAUGGUCAUGAGCAACUUGGACUAGUCGCCGGUUAUAGAGCUAUUUUUUGAAAACUUGGUAUGGACUUGAAUGAUAUCACAUGCACCGGUUCAAUCAUUUUGGACCGAUAUAGUUGGUCGAAGGACCUAACGCGGUAUGGGAAAUGGUGAGUCAUGUUUGGUAUGGUCAGUCUAUUUUAAAUAUAUCAAACUAAUUUACAAAAUAUGUGUAAAAUGAUGAAUUUAAUUAAAAUGCAGCCUAGUGCUAGUGAACCUGUCAGCCCUCCUUGAUUACCUUGCAUGUAUAAUAGGAUUUUUCUAUACACUCGAAAUCUUGUGAGUACAAAAUUGUACUCACCCUUGUUGCUUAAAUUAAAAAUCCAGAGUUCGAAGAAAAGUCACCUCUGUUCAGUUCGCUGCCAAAGGAUGCGGGUUUCGCAACGUAGCUUCUUUCUAGGACUAACUCCAGUCAGUUGCCUGUGGGAUGGUGAGGCACACUACUGUAGGAUGGAAGUCCUAUAUUUUUGUUUGCUUCUGCUCUAGAUUAUAAUUUAGCUCCGAUCAAAUCUUAAUUUUACUAACAAAUUUUGUGUGCAGUUGUGAUACCGGUGAUGCUGUGUGUACUUGCGGACUGAUCAUGGGACAAGUACAAUAAGCACAACUGGAACUGGGUAUUUGCAUACCCGGGGUCCUGACAAUAGUCAUAUAGUUCUAUUUGAAAGAAAUAAUGUGUUUUCAUUGAAUAGAUGACAAUAGAUUUCUUGCCUACAGCUUAAAUCUUUUUUUUUCUUAGUUAAUUCUUGACUAGUUCUACUGUUAGAAUCUCUUUUUUCAGAUAUUGGGAUUAUGAUCUUAUCGGUGGGAGUAUCAACAUGUUACCGCCUUUUUGUAUCUGCGCCAUAAACCUCCGCAAGUACUGUACUGCAGUCUUGACUCUUGAGAAACAGUGCGGUACCAUAUGGUUAUGGCAGGCUUGAGCCCCCGAAAUGACAAGAGGGACACCUUCCUCAAUGGACUUCGUUGUUAAUACCACGAUAGCAGUUAUGGUUUGUUCGUAUUUUAGCUUUCAGAUCUACAUAGUUAGUACUAGCACCCUUCUCUAUCUGCCUAUCAUAUGACGUUGAUUACUCCAUUUUAAGCUAACGAACGUAUGCUGGUUACUUCAUUUUUAACCUAACGAAUGUCAUAUGUUAAAGGAUGGGGGAAAUAGUAUAAUUUAGAUUUUAGAGCAUGCACGAUUAAUAAAAGUUAGGGGUUGCGAAUCGGUGGUUCUAAAGAAUCACCACCACCGACUCUCUUUAUUUCAAUUUAUCAAACUACUUUUUAAAAAAUAUGCCGUCAAUUUGCGCAUCUAAUUAGUAAAGUGGUAUCUAUCUUUGAUCUAACAUAAGAACAAAUUUAGCCCAAUUAAAGACAUGAAAUCCUUUUCAAGACUCCAGUCUAGCAGAGCACGAGAAUUUCUAGACAAACCCCAAACAUAAGACAAAUGGUAAAAGAUAUGAAACAAUGUACUCCUGCAAAGAGGGAUGAGCAAGUUUGCUCGAUUGGUAUAGAAUCAUAGGUGAUACGGUUUCUGAGUGUCAUCAUGCCCGUUUGGGCUCUCCAAACGGGACCGUCACUUUCUUGAUAAGACUUCACAUGUUCAGAAAAAAAGUUAUUUGUAGUUGCUUGCUCCAUACCAAUCGCAAACCAUUUUUGGCUCGCUCAUAUUAUUGCUAGCUUUUUAUUAUGAUUCUAUGAUGGCUGGCUGGUUCAUAGGUUUAAAGAUACUGAAGGGACAACUAGGCGUGCCAGUUCUACGCAUGCUGCGUAAAAGAAGACGUGGACACCGGCCGGUGACGGUCACAACUAUAUUCUGGAACACAACUCGGCGACAUAUUUGUAAUGCCAGCACAGCUUGCAGAAGAUUAUUUCCAGUUCCAGUAAAAGAGAAUAAGAGAACAAAGAUGGUAGUGGUAGUACACGGCACGUUUAUUUUUUUAUGGAACGGUCUAUCCAAGCUCGCGACUCAUCGUUGACCUUUGGUUAGGGGAAUGUCAGAGGAACUUGCGCAGGGCAAGAAUCCCAUCACAAUCGAAACAUCGAGGAAGCGAAACGAGCUUUGCUCUCCUCUAUUUUCUUAUACAGCUUCGCAAGCCGCAAACUCGUAACUUCUCAAGGGAAGCGUCGUUUGGCUUCCACCUGCACAAACAGAAUAUUGAAUAAUGCAGGAAUCUUUUGGUACUUGUACAAUGUACAUUCUCGAUUUUUUUAAGCAGGAAUGAAAAAGGUCAAUAAUGAAGCAAAUAAACAAAAGCAUUCAAUCACACAUGACCAUGAAUUUUCUAUUUGUUCAAGGACAGUUCAUCGAUCUGCCUUGCUUUCCUCUCAUCCUUCUUUCGUUUGCAGCACAUAUUCUCAGUGGUGCUGCUAAUCGGCCGCAGCGAUUCAUUUUGUAACACAUGUGGAUUACGGUUGACCCGCCAUUUUCUUUGAUGAGGUACCACCACCUUCGAUAGGAACAGCGACAUUUUUUUUUACUCGUGCUUAAUGCUAUUUAAUUUUCAGCUAUCGCUUUAAAACUAAAUCGGGCGGGAAGUCAAUUCUUUUUUAGCGUUUUUCCGAUGAAAUCAAUUUGACGCGGUUAUACAGUACUAACUCAAAAGCGAAAAUUGUGGUUGAGCAGCAAGACAUGCACAUAGUCGCCAGAAAAAUGCACCCAAAAAAAGGGUAUUGAAAGAAACUCGAGCAUGAAAAUUGUAAAGCACGGGAUCCGCUUUUAUGAAAAGUGCACGUGGUGCCACACCACCAAGAGGCACCAAUUUACCUACGCGCACUAUAUUAUUGCACCAAGAUAUUUUCUAAUACCAUUUUUUUUGCCAAGUUUCUAAUACCGUUAAUACCCUGAACCAUUUGUCUAACCGUUUGAGAGUUACUACAAUCCCACAAACCACUGUGCAACUUGCUAGAAAGUCAUUAAAAACUCUAACACACUUACAGAUUGUAAUUAGUGGAUUUGGAUGCACAUAAAAUAGAAAAUAUCAUAGAUAGUAAACAUUUACAAGAUCAACACUAAGGCCCGAUUCAACCUUGUAGGUUAUAUCUUUUGCACAAUGACUAUGUGCGCUUCUUUCGAUAAACAACAGCUGUAUCGGCAAUAGGGCACCGCCAUUGCCUCUCACAGUUGGAUUGGCACUUAGACGCGCUAUUGUCCACGUGGAUAUGCCAGGAGGUAAGUCUCUCCGUUUUUCCUUAAUGGGGUAAUUUUACGGGAGUUUGUUUUUGAGUUGGCCCUCGUUAUUCCACCCAGGGCCCCUGAUCUCUGCCAUGCGGGCCCGCGGGAUUGGCCAGCCCUUGCUACUCCACCCCAGGUCCCUGAUCGGGCCGCGCAAUUGGCCAACCGAAUGGAAAGAUAUUCCCACCGUCACAUUCGCCAGUUGGCCCCGUCUCCAAGAAAGAAACAUCGCAGCGAAACUUCACCUCCGCUGUCCUCCGCGGCGGGCGGCGGGGCAAGGUCUCUCUGAAAGACGACCCGCGCGAGAGCCCAAUCGGAACCCAUCUCGACGGCAACCCUACCGGUCGCCCGCUCCCCCUUGCGCCGCGCCGCGCAUUCCCACCACGCGUCUCCCAAAAUUCGCGGCCGCCUAUAUAAAACCUGCCCCCACCACUUUGCCAUCCGCCCCUCCCCGUUCCUCCUUCCUUUUGGGCUUAGCGGCCAUGCCUCCCCUCACGAGCGCCCUGCUCUCCCGCUCCACCACCGGCUCCUCCCCCCGCGUCUCGGCCGCGGCGGCAGCAGCGAUCUCCAGGCCCGCCACCCCGUCGUCCUCGGCUCCCCCUUCCCGCCCGACCCCGAGCCCGCGCCCCAGCCCGGCGUCGCCGUUCGCGUCCGGCCUCGCGGGCCGCCUCUUCGGCGGCCACCGCGCAGCCGCCCGGUCCGCAUCGUCUGCGGCCGCCGUCUUCGAGCGCCGGUUCGCCUCCGCGGGUACGGACUCCGACGACGUGGAUGGGCUAACUGGGUCAAAUUAUUGCAUCUCUCUAAUUGAGUCUCUGUCUCGACUUGUGUUUUUUCCCCUCUCCAGCGACAAAAAACUCUUACGAUGAAAUCCUGACGGGCCUCGGGAAGCCAGGAGGCGGUGAGGAGUUUGGGAAGUACUACAGUCUGCCUGCGCUCUCUGAUCCGCGGAUUGGUGAGUCCGUUGUGUUGCUCUGGUACUCAAUUUUGGCGUGACUUGUUUAAUUGGUAGUGGUGAUGUGGUUUGAUCCUGAGUUUCUGUUGGCGAAUUCAAAUUUAUGAGGUUUGUCUCCUCCGAUCUGUCUUCUUCGCUCAGUUUUGCGUAAUGUGUUUUCGUGUAUGAAUUGAUGGGUCCAGUACUCCAGUUCGGAAGCCCAGAGUGCCCGAUCUGAUCUAAUGCUGGUUGUGCAUGAUUCUGUUGGUGAAACAUGGAAGCCUUGAUGUGCAAAUUGUCUGAAUGGUGAUACCAAUAUAGCUGUAGAAUGUACCACUGUUUGGCUUUUUUAGGUUUUUAUUAUCUCUCCUUUUAUCCUUUUCCCCCCUGAAAGUACUGCUGAUCUGACCCAUGUAUUUGGUUCUUCCUGUCAGAUCGGCUCCCCUACUCUAUAAGGAUUCUUCUCGAGUCGGCAAUCAGAAACUGUGAUGAGUUCCAGGUCACUGGUAAGGAUGUCGAGAAGAUCUUGGAUUGGGAGAACAGCGCAUCAAAGCAAGUUGAAAUCCCAUUCAAGCCAGCCCGUGUUCUUCUCCAGGUACUGAUUUCAACAGUUCCUUUUUUAUAUAUAUGUCCAACUUCUGUGCAUAGAAUAAGUGUGAGCUGGAAAUAUUCCCGUCAAUAGCUUUUGAUUACAGGAAUCUUGCUAUUGGAACUCCACUUUCUUAUCCUAUCGAGAAAGUGGAGUUCCUUGCCCAUUAGCCAAUUGUCUGGUGUUUGAUUGGUACCAUUCGUUGACUUUUUGAGCUGUUUAAUGAUAGACACCGACAUCAGAGCGUUUAGGUGGCAGAAUAAAAGCUAUCUGCAUUGACUGUUCUCAUAACAGUGAUAAAAACUUAACCAUAGCAAGUGCUAUAUAAAGCUGGACGCAUUGCUUAUUUUAGUAUAAUAUUUUCAAAUAAGGUAUAUAGCUGAUGAAUAUUUGCUCUGUGUUCUGAACUAUUAUUAAUUGACUGAUGACUAUCUUUCCCUCCCUACCUCUUGGUUAAAUUACAGGAUUUUACUGGUGUCCCGGCAGUUGUUGAUCUUGCAUGCAUGAGGGAUGCUGUGAGCAAACUUGGCAGCGACCCAAACAAAAUUAAUCCUCUGGUGAGUUCAGUGUAAUGCAAUUCAUUAUCUCUGGUGUUUUUUAUGUAUCUUAUUGCCAUUUGUGCAUUUCUGCCAACCAUACUUCAUUAUACCAUCAACUUGCACGGUAUCUAUAUUUUAAACUCCCAUUAUGAACAUUACCUGUUCUGUUCAUUAUGUAGUGCUUGUUGUUAUUUAAGAAACAUUGCCAUCGCAACCAACAACAGUUGGUGUCACCUUCUCUAAUAGAAAAUUGUAUACAUUAUGGUUGCAAUACAUACCGUAUCUAAUGCAUGUACAUCAUAGGUCAGUCUUUAUUUUUUUAAUUGUUUGUCCAAAUGUAACUCUGUGAUCUUGAAGUUUGAUGUUAGGGCCAAGCAUAUUAUUGCUUUAUAUGGUACUUCAAAGUCUGGCAUAAACUUUGCUAGUUGCAUUUUUCUUUUGAAUUGAAUAUAUUCAUCUUUUGAGUCCGGAAUCUUGAAAGUAAUCAUGUGGAGCCUUUUUCCCUUACUGUUAAUUUAUUUCCUGUAGCUUUUACCUUAACUCAAUCCUUUUACCCUCCAGUUAACUUUUGGUCGCUAAUGCUGCCUUUUUUCAUUCAUCUCUAUAUUGUACAGAAUAUAGAUACUGCAAAUUGAUGCUGGUGCCAUUUUUCUGCUGAUAUGUAAAUAUGUAUGUUUGCAGGUUCCUGUAGACCUUGUUAUUGAUCAUUCAGUACAAGUCGAUGUUGCAAGAUCACAAAAUGCUGUUCAGGCAAAUAUGGAGCUUGAGUUCCAUCGUAACAAGGAACGGUUUGGAUUCUUGAAAUGGGGUUCCUCUGCAUUCCGUAACAUGCUUGUUGUUCCACCUGGGUCUGGAAUUGUCCACCAGGUAAUUUUGUGAUGUCAUCAUUUUGAUAUAACUUUUAUCCUGGCCAAGUUGGCUUUGUUGAUUCGAACUCUUAACCCUCCAUUUGACCUUUUCAGGUCAAUCUUGAGUACCUGGCCAGGGUUGUGUUCAACAAUGGUGGGAUCCUUUACCCUGACAGCGUUGUAGGAACUGACUCUCACACAACUAUGAUUGAUGGUCUCGGUGUUGCUGGAUGGGGAGUUGGUGGCAUAGAGGCAGAAGCUGCAAUGCUUGGCCAGGUGAAGUACAUUUUGAUAUCCAAAAACUCUGUUUCAGAUACCAUUGAACCUUGUUUGAGCCUUGGCAGCGUUAUGUACAAGUACAUUUUCUCUUUGACUGCCAUCUGCUUUGGCAACUUACAUAUUGAAUUUGGCUUCUAUCUGCAGCCAAUGAGCAUGGUCUUGCCAGGUGUUGUUGGUUUCAAGCUAUCAGGCAAGCUGAGGAAUGGAGUUACAGCAACAGAUUUGGUUCUAACAGUAACUCAAAUGCUUCGUAAACAUGGGGUUGUUGGAAAAUUUGUUGAGUUCUACGGUAAUCAUAAUGCCUUUAAUUUUAAUCGAGGCCUUCCUUUACAACAGCUUCAAUGAUGGGCUUCUCUAAUGUAAUAUAUCUGAAACCUGUAAAACUUCAGGGCAAGGUAUGAGUGAAUUGUCACUUGCUGAUCGGGCCACCAUUGCAAACAUGUCACCAGAAUAUGGUGCAACUAUGGGUUUCUUCCCAGUUGAUGGAAAGACACUGGACUAUUUGAGGCUUACCGGCAGAAGUGAUGAUACAGUAAGCUAUUAAUGGCAAUUGUAAUUUUUUGUCUUUAUCUGCAUUGAUGGUAAGACACUAGACUAAUUUUUGUUUCAUAUUUUAGGUGGCCAUGGUAGAAUCCUAUCUGCGUGCUAAUAAGAUGUUCGUCGACCACAACCAGGUGAUUGUUUUUCAUUUGUUGAGCACAAGCAGAUAGUUUGGCGUAUGCUUAGUGCCUUUGUUUUAUUGACACAUUGUCUCGGAUGUAGGUUGAAGCUGAAAGAGUGUAUUCUUCUUAUCUAGAACUUAACCUUGAAGAGGUUGAACCAUGUCUAUCAGGACCAAAACGGUAAUGUACUUGAUUAAAGUGCUAUUAAUAUAUCUUUGUACUCAUUUGAUAAUAUAUUUGUUGUUCCUUUUUGAACAGGCCUCAUGAUCGAGUGACAUUGAAGAACAUGAAGUCGGAUUGGCAUUCUUGCUUAGACAACGAUGUAGGGUUUAAGGUAAGGAUUUCCUCUAUGGAUUGCAAUAACUAUACUUAUUUGUGUAUGCUCCACCAGCCACUUAUUUUAUCAAUUGAUAUCUAGUACACUAGAGUUGUUCAAUAUUUGUCUCAUCGCAGUGAAUUAGGAUACAGGUCCAAACAGUUUUAUGCUUGAUAUUGUUGUGUACUUUGUUUGCCAUUCCCCUCAUCUUAUUCUCACUGCAACCGUAUUUCAGGGAUUUGCUGUCCCCAAAGAAUCACAGAGCAAAGUUGCAGAAUUUUCAUUCCACGGGGCUCCUGCAAAGAUAAAGCAUGGUGAUGUUGUAAUUGCGGCUAUAACUAGUUGCACCAACACAUCAAAUCCUAAUGUAAUGCUUGGAGCUGCUUUGGUUGCGAAAAAGGCUUGUGAAUUAGGCUUGGAGGUUCGGUUCUGAACGACAUCUUGCAUCUUGCUUUUUAACCCUUUUUUUAACAAAAUUAUUUCCCUAUUUAUUACCCUGUCUGACUAGGUUCGCACUGCUUCAAAUCAAAAGACCUGUUUGGUUUAUACCUUACUGAGUUCCGUGCUAAAUAUUCUCUGGCUAUUGUUCCAAAUGAUUUUUUUAAACUUUCUAUUAUGAUAAUGAAAUUAGUUCAAUGCUGCAUUUCUAUGUUUUCUAUGAAUACCAUCAUUUAGUUUAACACUGGUUCAUGUCAAUCAGGUAAAGCCAUGGAUUAAGACAAGUCUUGCACCUGGUUCUGGUGUUGUGAAGAAGUACUUGGAUAAGAGGUAAGUCUUGGUUCCAUGAGCUCAAAUGCCUACCUUGUACUGCCAGCCUUUGUAAUUCUUGCUUUGUUUCCCCUUUGGCAGUGGUCUGCAGAAAUACCUUGAUCAGCUAGGCUUCCAUAUUGUUGGCUAUGGUUGCACAACCUGCAUUGGAAAUUCCGGAGAUCUUGAUGAAUCUGUGUCUGCUGCAAUUUCUGAGAAUGGUGAUCCUGACAACAUUCGAUAGUUAAAAGUGCAAAGUUAUGGAAUAGAGCAUAUUGCUUAUCUUCCCCCUUUCUUUGUAGAUAUUGUUGCUGCUGCUGUCUUGUCCGGUAACAGGAAUUUUGAAGGACGUGUCCACCCAUUAACCAGAGCAAAUUACCUUGCUUCUCCUCCACUAGUUGUGGCUUAUGCCUUGGCUGGCACGGUAAGUGGGUGGGCCCGCUUCUAGUUUGCAACAAAAUGAAUAAAUAAAUGUUUCUUAUUCUGUUAUGAGUUUCUAGCUAUCCUACACAUUUUUACAGGAAGUCCAUUCUUCACUGAUAAACAAAAAUACUGUUAUAGUACAAUUAAUCCAAUUUAUGUAGUUGAAACAAACCAUCAGUGGUACUCCCUGUGUUUUAUUGCUUCAUUUACCGGCUAUUAUUUUAUGCUCACAUGAUUCGUUGCCAUGAAGUUAGUUUCAGUUACUGUGUUCAAACUUCUAUGUGAUUUUUUGUUGUCUUCUUUUUUUGAUGAAUUUUUACUUCUGCUUAGGUUAAUAUUGAUUUUGAGAAAGAACCUAUCGGCAUCUCGAAAGAUGGCAAAGAGGUUUACUUCAGGGACAUUUGGCCUUCCACAGAAGAGAUAUCCGAGGUCAGCAUGCAGCACAGAAACUUUGAUUAUAUUUCAUUGCCUCAACUCACUUUACUUGCGGUAUGAAACCUUGUACUUUCAUUACAUGCUUUUUAUGCUUGUCAUUUUAAUUGCUAGGUUGUCAAGACCAGUGUGCUCCCUGACAUGUUCAAGAGCACAUAUGAGGCGAUCACAAAAGGAAAUCCUAUGUGGAAUGAGCUAUCAGUGUCAGCAAGCACUCUCUACCCAUGGGAUCCAUCAUCUACGUACAUCCAUGAGCCUCCUUAUUUCAAGGAUAUGACAAUGACCCCUCCUGGCCCUCGACCCGUGAAGGAUGCAUAUUGCCUUCUGAACUUUGGUGACAGUAUCACAACUGAUCACAUCUCCCCUGCUGGAAGCAUUCACCCAGAUAGCCCAGCUGCAAAAUAUCUGAAGGAGCGUGGUGUUGAAAGGAAGGACUUCAACUCGUAUGGUAGUCGACGUGGAAAUGAUGAGAUCAUGGCCAGGGGAACUUUUGCCAACAUUCGCCUUGUGAACAAGUUCCUGAAGGGUGAGGUUGGACCAAAAACAAUCCACAUUCCAUCUGGGGAGAAGCUUGCUGUUUUUGAUGCUGCUAUGGUAAUAUAAUUCUAAUCAAUACCAUGUAGUUCAGUGAUACAUGAUAUGUGGCACCAGCGUUCAUUAUUUAUAUUGAUCCAUUCUUUUUUGUUUACUGGCACAGAAAUACAAGAAUGAAGGGCAUGACACUAUAAUCCUGGCUGGCGCCGAGUAUGGUAGUGGAAGCUCUCGGGAUUGGGCUGCAAAGGGCCCAAUGCUUCAGGUAAGUAGUUUCCACUAUUUUCUUCAACUAUGCUGUUAACAAACCUAACUGUGUCACUUAUGGUGACAUAUGUUCACUUGAUGGCUGCAGGGAGUCAAGGCUGUGAUAGCAAAGAGCUUUGAGAGGAUCCAUCGUAGCAAUCUUGCUGGCAUGGGAAUCAUCCCUCUUUGCUUCAAGGCAGGGGAGGAUGCAGACACCCUUGGGUUAACUGGCCAUGAGCGCUACACGAUCCACCUUCCAACCAAUGUGAGUGAAAUCAAGCCUGGACAAGAUGUUACCGUGACAACUGAUACUGGGAAGUCUUUCACUUGCACACUCAGAUUUGACACUGAGGUACGAUUUUUCUCCUGUGCGUUACUUGCUGACGCUGAUUAAAUAAACUGGUAUGCUGAUGUUGUAUUUUUUAUUAACGAUUCAACGUUCAGGUGGAACUUGCUUACUACGACCACGGAGGUAUUCUACCAUAUGUCACCAGAAAGAUUGCGGAACAGUAGGUUGUACCAUUGAGAUGAUUGCGAUGAGGCGAAUCGUGAUUGAUGUAAACGGUUUGUUUAGCACACCCCAUUUUUGAGUACUUCUAAUAAUCUCUGGGCGCGGAGAGCUUUCUGUUAGAAAUUUUGUGAGCUAUUGGCCUCCAGCAAGAAUUGGAGUGCUUGAUGAUGCUAUGCGAUCUUAACCUUUCUUGAGACGUGUCAAUAAUAUUCCAACACCUGCAGCCACUGAAUACAUUGGGCAGAUGAUUACCCAUUAUGUAAAUGAUACUUCACUCAUUGAAAGUUAAAUGCUGAUGCAGUUCGAAACUGUUAGCUUAUUGUUAUUGGUUACUUUUUGAGAGACCUGUGUUAUGAUUCCUUUAACCAGUGCAUGAUGAAUCCAUUUGGAUUUUAUAGAUGCUAUUUCCUGCCUAUAAGCUACUCUUAUUAGUAGAACUAGGAGGGGCGUGGCCCGGCCCCUCUCUUUUUUGUUUUCUUCAAAAAUAAGAACUUCUGUAUGAUUUCUGCGUAACUUUGUUUUCCUUUUUGCAAUUAUAAUCCACAUCUGGUGUUUUGGGUGCUUCUGGUUUCCGUCAAAAACUCUGCGCAUGUAAACAACAGGGCUUCCGCCAUUAAACAUUGAGCCUUUUACGAGCAUUCGAUAGGAAUACCAGUUAUAUCUUGGGAGGUACAUUUUUUUGGUAUCUCUUGAAGGACAGUAAAAAGGCUAAAAAAAGGGCUAAAAGAAAGAAUAAAAGAGAAUAAAAAACGAAACAAACCCAACAUAUGACUUUCUCCAGUAGUCCAGCACCUGUAAGGCAGUAAUUUAAAGCUAUGUUUGCUUCUUGUCCAGUAGGUGCCAUUCGUGCUUUGGACUUGAUCUCCCUCUAUUGCGGUACAAUACCCUCUACUCCAUAUUUGUGUUGUCAAGCCUGAAAGAAUUGCUAGUCUUAUGCACUAGUCGUCGAAACAGCCUCUGUUCACGAUCCUGCUUGCCGUCCCGCUGCUGCUCCUGUAUGCCCUCUAGUGCCGUGGCUGCCGUAGCGAAAGCCAUCGACGUCUGGAGCUGCCCGACGUGCUGGUCUGCCCCUAGAGCGUCGCGUUCGAUGGCCACGGUCGCAAAAGAGUGUCAUUUUAGUUCAGUCAUAAGUUAAAUUAUCUUAUAUUUGAUCAAAUUUAUUAAAAAUAUAUCAAUACUUUUGAUGUCUAAUAAGUUUUAUUAGAUUCGUUAUGAAAUAUAUUUUCAUAGCGUACUAAAUCUUAUAAAUAUUAAUACUUUUUAUUAUAAAUUUGAUUAAAUUUAAAAUAGUUUGACUUAAGACAAACCUAAAACGGACAAUCUUUGCGGGAUGGAGAGACUCUUUGCGGGAUAGAGAGAGUACGUCAGCAUCUCGGAUGACUGCAUGUUCAAGUAGGGUGGUGAGCGUUCUCUGAACUUACCCCAGUCGCCAGGGAAAGUUCGUGCGGCCGGCCGCUGGGCCUACGGUUUAUGCGGGUGGGGUCGAGCGGUGGAGACUGGAGAGGACGAGAGGCAACUGUGGUGGUCACGAAGGCUGAUGGCGAGCCAUUCCGUUUCAGGAACGGGGUGGACGUCGACCAGGUCACUGGCAACGUCUACUCUACCAACAAUCGCAACACCAAAUGAUCACGACGACCGGAGACUCUACACUCUACUGGUCGUAUCAUGAAAGUACAAUCUACACGUCAAUCAAGUCACCGUGCUGCAAUCUGAUGUGACCUACCCUAAUGGCAUCACCAUCAGCGAUGAUAGGACCCACCUCAUCACGCUCACCGGGCCAUGCAAAUUGCUUAGGGCUGGGCUCCGCUCGCUAAAAUUUAGCACUUGUUACAUCAAAUAUUUGAUACUAAUUAGGAGUAUUAAAUAUAGAUUAAUUACAAAAUUAAUUGCAUGGAUAGAGUAUAAUUCUCUAGACAAAUCUAUUAAACCUAAUUAGUUCAUGAUUUGACAAUGUGGUGCUACAUUAACCAUUUGCUAUGAUGGAUUCAUUAGCUUUAUUAAUAGAUUCGUCUCGCGAAUUAGCUCAAGAAUUCUGCAAUUAGUUUUAUAAUUAUUUCAUAUUUAAUCCUUCUAAUUAGCAUCCAAACAUCUGAUGUGACACUGCUAAAGUUUAGCACUUGAUAUCCAAACAUCCCUUAGAUAUUGGAUCCAGAGCAGAGGUCCAAGACUAGUACAUCCGAGAUUUUCGCUAACUUGCCAGGAUACCCUGAUAAUAUGAGGCCCGAUGAAUAGGGGGCUAUCGGAUUGCAUUGCAUCGGGAGAAGUUUGAGCUCCCGUUCGACGUGAACAAGUGGUUGGUGCUCAAGGUGAAAAGCUACAAGAAAUGGCGGGUCCUAAGAACGAUAGGCCAACCGAAGUGGUGGAAAACGAAACUAGCAAAAUAUAUCUUGGAUUCGUAGAGUUAUCGUACAUCGACGAUGUUAGGAAUACAUCAUUCAAGCUUUAAGACAAAAUUAAAAACAUUGCGUAUGCCAAUAAUGAAAAAAAUUAAAUGUAAUUUUUGCUUGUGCUAUCACCAUCUCCAUGUCACUGAACACUGAUGGAGAGAUUGCACAUAUACAUGAAAACUUUCACAUAUGAGCACAUAGUUCAGAUGGAGAUAUUCGGGGAAAAAAAAGGUUCAGAUGGAGACGGAUCCGUCUUCGACCGCCGGUUACGUCCCUUUUUUUUCGAAAUCACCCCUCAUAGUCUUGAAAUUCUGCAGAGGGCCUACAGCGGCAUCCUCAGGCCUCAGCCCGACCCGAAGCCCGGGGCUCCCCGCCGUUUCCAACUCGGCAACUCCCGAUCGGCUGCCUCGGCCUCGAUCUAGGGUUUCGGCGCCCGGUCUCCUACGUCCUACCCUCCCCGUGCUCACCGUGUCCCUCGCUCGCGUUCAACUCGCCUUCCGGCAAAGCGGAGGCGAAGGCGAAGGCGAAGGCGAGCGGGGGCGCUUCUCUGCGGCACCACGUGACCUAUUUGAGGCCGUGCGUCCAUGGCGGCGAUGGGGCAGGAGGAGGAUGACAUCGAUCACUACGAGGUGCUCUGCCUCCCAUCGGGGGAGGAAGGCGCGGCGCUGACCAUCGAGCAGAUUGAGAAGGCCUACCGGACGCAGUCGCGGCAGCGCCACCCCGACAAGCGCCCCGACGAUCCCAACGCCACCGCCGACUUCCAGCGCCUCUCGAGCUCAUACAAGCUACUGCGGGACGAGUCCCUCCGCCGCCAGUUCGACGCGCGCCUCCGCGGCCGCCGUGAGGCAGCGGCCCGCGCCGCCGCCUCGGGCGUCAAGCGCCGUAAGGCGGUCUCCGACCUCGAGGAGCGCGAGCGCGCCGCCGCCGCCGGCCAGCCCGCCAACCCCGAAGAGCUCGCCAAGCGCGAGAUGAAGCAGAAGGCCGCCGACAUCGAGCGCGAGCUCGAGCAGUUCCGCACCGCCAAGCAGGCUGCCGCUGCAGGCGCCACGGCAUCUUCGGUAAGGGUUUGGAACUCUUUCAGUUUGGUUUCUGCGCGCUCUAGGAAAUUUAUUCAGUUAGUUUGUUGAAUUGAGUAGGAUGAUUGCAUAGCGAUUUUGUCUAUUGAUUUUGCAUUUAAUUUGAUUAGGAUAGCUACAUUUUGGGAUCCUGUGUGUCAGGAAAUUUCGCAAAUUCUAAUUCAUAUACAUUAUGAUUCACUUGAAACAUCACAUUUCUUUGAGACUAUUGGUGAGUAGUGUAAUCAGAGGGGAAAAUGCUUAUAGGGAAAAUCGCUUAUAGUUGUACUUAUUGAGUCCAUGGUAAGGCUGUGCAAGGGGCUUGUUCAACAGAGUAGAAUUUUAUUUGUUAAACAUUGCAGUUUGACAAUGGCCACCACUUGGUUAUAUUUUCAGGCGUAUGGAGAUAAGAAGGGUGGAGCCUCGCAAGAUGGGGUGAAAACAGACAAGGGCAAGAUCUUGAAGGUUUCAUGGGAUGGGAGUGCUGAUUCUUAUACUGCAGCAAAGUUGGAAGAACUCUUCCAGAAAUUCGGCAAAGUCGAAGACAUAGUAAUCAAGACAAGGAAAUCAAGGAGUAAGGGCUCAGCAAUUGUAGUCAUGGGCACCAAAGAAGCUGCAGUAAGUCCUGUUUCUCUACUCUUUUAGCCUUGGACAGCAUUCCAAUUCUGGCCUUGAUGAAUAGUUUGACUUCGGUUCAUUGGCAAACUAUGAUUUUGUGCUAGUGCUACUUCGAUCCAAAAUUUUACAUCAGGUAGUAAGCAAAUGUGCAUCUUAUACCUUCCUAGGAAAAUGACAGCAAGAUAGCAGAGUGAUCCCAGUUUUAUGCACAAGCCUAAAUACAAUUAUGUGUCAAAUGUUGCAUAAGUUAAUAAUUCUACAUCUUUAUCCUGAUGGAUGGAGAAUUCAAGGAUGUGUAUGUACGGGUUAUACAUGGAGCAAACCAAAUCCUUGAAAGUUACCAUGCAACGUUGACUAAGUAGUAUGUACCAGGUUCUUGCUGUCUACAUUAUCUCUUGGGAUCCCUUAUCUCUUUCAUGCUUGUGCAUAAACUCUUUUUUAAUAUUUAUAAAAUCACAGUAGCCCCCCCCCCCUCUCCUGUUUUCAUUAAUAUUUUUUAUUUUUUAAUAAAUUUGGGGUCUUUACUGAACAACAUUUCAUGUAUUGGAGUUUUAUAUUACUCUGCAUUGUGCAAUGCCUAACAAAUGAUUGUUGCUCUUUUGGCAGCUAUUAGCAAUACAGAACCAUUUUUCUCUGUUUCCAUUAAAUGUCGCUCCUGUUCAAGAAUCGGGUGGGUUACCAGCAAGGCCAUCUCAAACACAUGAAUCGAGGGCAAGCAACAUCGAUGGAACUGGAUUUAGCGAUUUGGAAGCGUCGGUAUUCCGGAAACUCCAGGAGGUAAUUAGUUAUUAGUAGUUUUGGCUUUUCUAGAUACAUAAUUUUUGCUAUGUAUCUAGUCAUGGUAUAUAUUUAUGUGCAUAUCAAAAGCUAUGCACCUAGAAAAACCAAAACAAAUAGUAAUUUGGGAUGGAGGGAAUACUAGAUAUGUGUCUAGCAAUUUUGUGUAUUGGUGGACAACAAAGGAUAUAUUAGAUCUUGGUAUCUUUGUAUUUUUGUUACAUAACUGAGUCGAUGACAGACUGUUUUGAAUAGUUGGAACUAAUAUAUUGCCUUUUGGUUUUGCAGGCCCAGAAAAGGAAACAAUGUGGCUGAUUGCUUCUUUCUGAAACAUGAGUUGGUACUUAUGUAUGACAUGUUGCGCAACAGACAACACCUGAGGAUUGCUGGGGUAGCCGAGUAACAGAAAUCAGAACUACACAUUUGUUUAGUAACAAGUCCUGUAGCAGCGACAGAUGAUUUUUUUGGUCAGUCAACAAAUUGUACCAUGUAUGUAUGAAUAGUCUGUAAUCAUAAUCCGUAACUGUGUACUGGACUAUGUCAUCCAACAUGAUGUGACCAUUUUUUGCUGCAAAAUGGGAAAAGGAGGCCUCGCGGAAUGGUUCGUUCACAGGUGCUUGUUGCCUUGAUCUUUAGUAAUCUCAGUUCUUAACUAUGUACUCUAGUAUGUCUCAUCACAAUGGUCGGUGUACAAAUUGUACCCUGUAUGUACUCGAGUAUAUGAUACUACCCCUUUUUUGGCUUGAAAAUGGGAACAAAAUCCCUCUCGAAAUGGUUCAUUCAUGCGUGCUUGCAUUGAUAUUCAGUAAGAUAUUGGCUAUGGCUGGGAUGGUUCGUGCCAGAAUAUCUAGCAAGAUGUUGACUGGUAUGAUUUUCUUUUUUGGGUGUGUGUGUGUUGGGGGGGUGUUAGAGCAACUCCAAGAGGCUGCUAAUCUUACCCCCAAUACCUUUUUUAAGGAAAAAAGAGAGAAAAAAUGAACUCCAACAAUCCACCUAAACCUUUCCCAAUUUUUUAGCGAUGCUAAAAAACAGCCUGCCACCGCGUAUAUUUUAGCGUUGGCGUUCCUCCCCCAAUCCUGAUUCCCGCACGCCCGCGCGUCCCUUCCGAUGGGCCCAAUACGAUGACGUGGCCUGUGUUUGAAAUAUUGGGGGCUAUUUAUUAGCGAUCUGCUGUGGACUAAUAUGUUUUUGGGGGAAAUUUUUUUUAGGAGAACCCCCAAUACAUAGUUUUGGGGAAGAAUUUUUUAGAUACUCUUGGAGUUGCUCUUAUGGUUCGUGCCUGAAUAUCUGGCAUGUUUCGUAGUAGUAUCGGCUGUGAUAAACGUACUCUCUCGGUCCCAAAAGAAAGUUAUUCUAAUUUCAUCCUAUAACAAAGUUUUUAAGUUUGAUUAAGUUUAUUGUAUGAAAAGUACCAGCUUUUGUGAUACCAAAUAAGUAUUAGAUUCAUUAUGAAAUGUACAUUUUAAAAUAUACCUAUUUUGUGUUAUAAAUGUUAUUUUUUCCAAAAAAAAUGAUUAAAUUUAAGAAAGUUUGAUUAGGACAAAACUAGAAUUACUUAUUUUUUCUAAACAGAGGGAGUACUCUGCAAUGCAGCGGGAGCUGCUGCGAACAUAUAUGUUUGCCAUUGCCGGGCCAUUUGAACUGCAGUAAGAGAGUAGAGACGCGUCACGUUCCUUCCCUCUUCUCCGUUCCCUGAUUGGAUAAACCGCGAAAGCAAAAACCCGCAGCACAGAAAUAUCCCAUCUCGCUUCGGUCCGCUUCCCUCCGCGGCUCCCUCGCCCCGCCCCCACACCAUGGCCACGCCGCUCCUUCUCCCCUCUCGCGCAGCCCAUGCCGCGGCCACCGCCACCUGCGCCUCCCAGCACCUCACCGCGGCCACCGCCAAGGAGCCCCCGCCCCGCGUCCGUCCCAGGCGCGGCGAGGGAGGCGUCCCCGGCCCCGGCUCUGGUCCCAAGUCCCUCGUCCUGUCCCACGUCGCGGCGGGCCGCAUGGACGACGCCGCGGACGCCUUCGCGGCCGUCAGGGGCCCCGACGCGUUCCUCCACAACGUAAUGAUCCGCGGCUUCGCCGACGCGGGCCUCCCGGGCGACGCGCUCGCGGCCUACCGCGCCAUGCUCGCCGCCGGCGCGCGGCCGGACCGCUUCACCUUCCCCGUCGUCGUCAAGUGCUGCGCGCGCCUCGGCGCGCUCGGGGAGGGACGCGCGGCGCACGCGUCCGUGAUCAAGCUCGGCCUGGGCGCCGACGUGUACACGGGCAACUCGCUCGUCGCCUUCUACGCCAAGCUCGGCCUCGUCGGGGACGCCGAGAGGGUGUUCGAUGGAAUGCCGGCGCGGGACAUCGUCUCGUGGAACGCGCUGGUGGAUGGGUACGUGUCCAACGGAAUGGGGGCGCUGGCGCUGGCGUGCUUCCAGGAGAUGAACGACGCGCUGCAGGUGCGGCGUGACAGCGUUGGGGUAAUAGCCGCUCUCGUGGCUUGCUGCCUGGAGUCGGCACUGGUGCAAGGGCGGGAGAUACACGGCUAUGCCAUCAGACAUGGGCUGGAGCAGGAUGUCAAGGUGGGUACUUCUCUUCUUGACAUGUACUGCAAGUGUGGCAAUGUUGUGUCUGCUGAGUACGUGUUUGCAACGAUGCCAUUGAGGACCGUGGUGACAUGGAAUUGUAUGAUAGGCGGGUACGCUCUGAAUGAGCGGCCUGUGGAUGCAUUUGACUGUUUCAUGCAAAUGGGAGCAGAGGGGUUUCAGGUGGAAGUGGUCACCGCUAUCAAUUUGCUUGCCGCCUGUGCUCAAACUGAAAGUUCACUGUAUGGAAGGAGCGCUCACGCUUAUGUGAUUCGGAGACAUUUUCUUCCUCAUGUGGUGCUUGAAACUGCUCUUCUGGACAUGUACGGAAAAGUUGGAAAAGUGGAAUCAUCCGAAAAGGUAUUUGAUCAGAUAACAGACAAAACUCUAGUAUCAUGGAAUAAUAUGAUUGCCGCCUACAUGUACAAGGAAAUGUAUUGGGAAGCCAUCGCAUUGUUCAUGGAGUUACUGAAUCAACCACUUUAUCCUGACUACUUCACCAUGACGACAGUAGUGCCAGCAUUUGUCUUGCUAGGGUCACUAAGGCAAUGCAGGCAAAUGCACAGCUACAUUAUCAAGUUAGGCUAUGGAGACAACACUCUCAUUAUGAACGCAGUUAUGCAUAUGUAUGCAAGGUGCGGCAAUAUUUUGACCUCGAGGGAGAUCUUUGACAAAAUGCCAGGCAAGGAUGUGAUCUCCUGGAACACGAUCAUUAUAGGAUAUGCAAUUCAUGGACAGGGAAAGACUGCAUUGGAAAUGUUUGAUGAGAUGCAAUGUAACGGUGUGGAACCGAACGAGAGUACCUUUGUCUCUGUGUUGACUGCUUGUAGUGUUUCAGGCCUGGAGGCUGAGGGCUGGAAGCAGUUCAGUUCAAUGCAACAAAACUAUGGUAUGGUUCCACAGAUUGAGCACUAUGGAUGCAUGACUGAUCUUCUGGGCAGGACAGGUGACCUUAGAGAGGUGUUCCAGUUUAUUGAAAACAUGCCGAUAGCUCCAACAUCCAGGAUUUGGGGUUCCUUACUUACCGCGAGCAGAAACAAUAAUGAUAUAGAUAUAGCAGAAUAUGCAGCAGAGAGGAUAUUCCAACUGGAACAUAACAACACAGGAUGCUAUGUUGUUCUGUCUUCCAUGUAUGCUGAUGCUGGGAGAUGGGAGGAUGUCGAGAGGAUAAGAUCUCUGAUGAAGGAGAAGGGGUUCCAAAGGACAGAAGCAAGAAGCCUUGUCGAGCUUCAUGAUAAAGAGUGCAGUUUUGUCAAUGGGGACAUGUCUCACCCUCAGAGCGAGGAAAUUCAUGAAUUAUCAGAUAUUCUAUCAAGAGAGAUUGGAGAAACUUUUGAUAGCCCAAGUAAUCUCAGCGAUUCGGAUCCUUUGGCAUCACGGAGAACAGUACUGCCCAAUAAGCAUAGUGUAAGGCUGGCUGUUGCCUUUGGUCUGAUAUCAUCUGAGGCUGGAGCUCCCGUUCUUGUCAAGAAGAAUGUGCGUGUAUGUAACCAGUGCCAUCAUGCACUGAAGCUGAUAUCAAAAUACUCAAGGCGGAAGAUUGUUGUUGGUGACGCAAAGAUCUAUCAUGUAUUUUCAGAUGGCUCCUGUUGCUGUGGUGACUACUGGUGAUUUUUUACUCACAGUUGAUGGAAUGUCUGAAUGAAUUUCUGGAAGAGCAACGCAGUGCCUGGAUACAGAACACCCAGCAUCCUGUGAAACUGACACAGGGUAUUGGGGAUCUAUCCCCAACAGGUAUGAUCAACUAUGCCAAGCUAUUACAGCAUAGAUAAAGUUGAGGACACAUACGUGAGACAUCCACUCCAAGGUGCUCGUGGUCGUGGCUGGAGGGAACAUCAUUUUUCCCCAUUUUGACAUAGCGAGGGGGAAAUACUGUGACUUACUAGUACUGAUUACAGUUUUGAUACAUGAAACAAAUGUAAUCUUUUGUAGCAAUUGAUAGUAGCAUGAUGUACAAAGUCGAUUCUUUUCAAGUGAAAAGACUCUGAAUUGCAGGUAACUCAAUUGUACCAUACAUCAUACACUGAUCAAAUGCUAGGAAAGCUGUUUUUAACUGUCACAAAUUCUUGCCGAGACAAAAUCAAACAUGUAGAGGAGUUUGUGCUUGAGAUUUAUCAGUCCUCUGAACCAUUUCCUUUCAAACAUAGAGUAGUCGUUUACAGAAGAUUGAACAACAAAAAAAAGUAGUAGACCGCCUGGAUUGGGGAUAUCCUGUUCUGAAAUCUACGCUCCGCCGCGGCGCUUGGCCUCCUCGGCCUGGAUCGCGCGGCGGGACGCCUCGGCGAGGCGGUCGAGCGCCUGCUGCACGGCGUCGCGGCCGCCGAUGAGGAGGCGCGCCACCACCUCCGGGUCGCGCUCCCCGCGGGCCUCCUCGAACUCGCGCCGGGCGUUGGCGCGCAGCACCUCCCGCCACGGCACCCCGCGGUCGUCGGGCCACGCGAAGAGCCGCGUCGCCCGGAGGAUGUCUCGGUACAGGCCCAGCGCCUCCCGCCGGGUGCUCGUCAGCCGCCUUCGCGCCUCGGCCUCCGCCGCGUCGUCGUCGAGGACCGCCGCGGGCUUCUUCACGAGGUGCCGGUCCAGGAGCUCCUCGAUGGUGUCGGGCCCCUCGUGGAUGGCCCGCGCGGGCGGCCUCGUCCUCGGCGCGGCGAGGAGCGCGCGGAGGACGGCGGAGGAGCGGCCGCGUCCGGCUACGGGCAUGGUUGAUGGUCCUGUGCUGCGGCAGAGUCCGAAUCUGAUUUGGGUCUUGCUUAGCCUGGGCGGGCGGUGAAGGAUCGGAAUUGAGCUGGGCUAGGCUGGACCGGGCUGGACUAGAAUGGGUGGGAUCGGGUCGGUGGAAAAUUAAUUGUGCUGGGUCUGGGCUGGGCUUCCAUUACGAAGAGUCGGACUCCCGAAGCCCGACUUCGAGUCGAAUCGGCGGCUGCCCGGCUUUAUAACGCGCGCGCGCUCUCCUCCCCGCACCAUCCAUCCAUCGCAGUCCCUGCGCUGCGCAUGGACGGCACCAUGUCUACGUCCCUGGCUGCCGCCGCCGCCAACUGCCGGUGCAGCCGCGUCGUGUUCGUCGGCAACAUCCCGUUCCACGCCUCCGAGAAGGAGCUCCGCGACGCCUGCGAGCUGAUCGGCCCCCUCCGCUCCCUGCGCCUCGCCGCCGACCCGGCCACCGGCAAGCGCAAGGGCUACGCCUUCGUCGAGUACCCCGACGACGAGACGGCGCGCAGCGCCUGCCGCAACCUCGACGGCCACCCCCUGCGCGGCCGCGAGCUCCGCGUCGGCCUCGCCGGCCGCCACCGCCGCCGCCGCCCCAGGGGCGACAGCGAGCCCGUCGGCCUGGAGGACGCCAUCCACGCCGCGUCCCUCGUCGCCGGGACGCCCCCGCUCGACUCCGUCACGCGGUUCCUGGCGGCGCGGUCGGCGCGGGAGCUGCGGGAGAUGGUGGCCGCGCUGGAGGGCGACGGCCCCGACACCCUGAAGCUGCUCGAGGAGCACGUCCCGGGAUUGGCCACGGUCAUGGAGCAGGUGCGUCAUCUUCUGGACAUGGCGGCCGCGGAUGAAGCUGCAGAGGAGGCCAAGAACAAGAAGCGGGCGGCGGCGGCGGAGUCCACCGACGAUCACCGCGCCAAGUUCGCGAAGGUGGAAGUGGAAGACGGCGGCUUCAAGCACAAGAUCGCGGUCUCUGCUGUCGGCGUCACGUGUUUCUGAUCAGUUGUUCUUGCUGUCUCGGCUCUGGCCCUCUACCGUGAUUGUUUCCUGGCCUCGUAGUUCGACUAGGAGGAAACAGAUGUAAUCUAACACCUACGCUUGCAGUUGCAGCAAAGUUAUCAAUGACAUUGUAUGAUGAUUAUUUUGUUGAUUAACAAAGGAAUCAGUGUUUCCUUUUUCUUGCUUGAAAUUGUACAACCAAAUUAUGCAGCUGGUUCUUUUGUUAGUACGGAUCCAGUGUCUUCCGAGAGUAACUGCCGUGAUGUGAUCUGCCGAUGCAACGUGAAAGAUUGCGGCAAGUAUCAAACGAACUCUGAAAUUCCCCCAAACAACGUUACAUUCAGAAAUUCAGAUGUUCCAUGCUCUUCAAUUCAGGUCUAAUUACUAUAGCUUGAAUAGGCACAUCCGGGUAGGUGUUUAAAAUACCGACCACGCCAUAUCAUGUCCUUGCAUUGCAUUUAAAUCUCACAAAGUUUCAAGCUCAAGUAUGUUGGGCACAGGACAGGUGAAAAUUAAAGGGCAAAUGUUCAUGGGUGGUCAAUAACUAGCAAAUCACUUCCCUAUGUUCACAAUAUGCGGAAAAAAAAUCCUAGAAAAAUGUCUGUGGAUGGGCACUGUAUCGCCGCGUAAUCCCAUAAAAUAUCAAACUAGAAUAGAAUAAAUUCCGAAGAGAGGAAAUUUAUUUUAAAAAACGUUAAGAGGUGGUCGGUGUUUCAAAUAACGACCACACAAAGCCACCAUCAGAUAACUUCCUGCGCACCAAAAAAUCUAGAACAAUUUCUGCAGAUGGUCGCUACAUUUCCUCAUGAUUCUGGCGUUUUGCAAAGUUUCUAGCUCAAUUAAAUUAUGAAAAGGGAGGGGCAAAAAGGAGAAGUUUUUUUGAAUUUUCACGGUGGUACCAGCAAACUUCUUCCAUACGCUCUGAUCCUGUGGAUUGAUAUUACGUUGGAGCAUAACCCUGCAAGGUUUCAAACUCCAAUAUGUUCUGAAGAGGGAGGAGCGAAAAUGAGAAAUGUUCAUGGCAGGGUGAUCACCAUCCUAAGCUCCAUAGCGUAAGACAUGCGCUGCGCGUUCGAUGCGGUGAGGGGGGGGGACGGGUAAGAGGACAUGGGGCGCUCGCUGCUCGGUGGCUGGCCGCUGCUUCAUCGGACGGGAUGCCGGCAUGUCGCGGCGUCCUGAGAGUGCGCGAACGGCGAGAACGGGCACUAUGGUUGCCGUGCAAGCUCCAGCGGCGGCAGGAGCGAGAAUCACAAUCACAAAGUGAAUUCUGAAUCCGGAGGCGGAAGCGACUCCGUGCACGCGCAGUGCAGAGUGAUUCCUUCAGUUUCGUUCCACAUCCGCAUCACUGCGCGUGAGUUGCCUUUGAUCGGAAAAUUGCAUCGUUUUGAUCAGCGAACGCUGUGCAAGCCUUUCUCCAAAUGUCAAAUUUUAUUGCAACCAACCAAUGAACAAGGUGAAAAAACUGCACGACACCAUUUACAUACACACAAGACUAAUUUACAGAAAUCACAGCGCAACACGAUACGCGACCAGACUAACCCAAAAUCAGGGGCGCAUCACGGCAGGUUUCACUUUCCAUACGCGGCGGCAGGCGGCGGACUGGGCGCGGCGACGGCCUUGAUCUUGAAGCGGUACCUCGGCCGGCGCGGGAUCACCUGGCUUGGCCCCAUCCCGAACUGCCCGGGGCCCUGCAUGAGCGGCGGGCCGUCGUCGUAGACGUGGCCGAGGAGGCGGCCGCAGGCGUCGCAGCUGAUGCGGGUGCGCUUCCGCUGGAUGCCCCAGUAGUUGCGGGUCUCGAAGAAGGGGCGGAUCCGGUCCUCGGGCGCGAACCGGAGGCGCGACUCGUCCACCCACGAGAAGGACAGCGUGCCCUUGUUCCCGGCCUCGAAGAAGACGCCCGCCGGGUACAGGUGCGCCGCCGACAGGUUCAGGUCCGCGCCGCACGCCGCGCACCGGUACGAGCCGGAGGCGGGCGCCGACGCCAUCGGGACCGCCGCGUGGGAGAUCGCUGGACGGAGAGUUUGCUCGCCUCGACUCGGCUGGAGGGUGGGAUUUGGAGGGAGGACCGAGGGCGGCAGCUGCGGCGCCGGCCUCUGCCGCGUUGGACCGGCGUUAGCUUGGAGAAGCUUCUUUGUGGUGGUGAUCGGUCAGAAGUCAAAGCCAGAACGCGGUGGUGGCGUGAUGCCUUGCCGGCGGGCCGCUCGGACUCGGUGCUACGCCAUCGGCCUGACCUGGAAAUACUUGAGCCCAGCCCACCAAGCAGUUCAAAGGCGCUUAUAUGUUGUAAUGAAAAUAUGAGGCCCAUGGGAAUAUCCUCUCCGUCUCCCGCGAUCCCCACCCAGCCAGCCAGACAGUGAUAACAGAACACCACCGCCCCGCAUGGAGAUGGAACCAGCCCGUCAAAGCUUUGCAUGGAACCAGGGAAGAAGCUGUUGAGUUGGGAGAGAUUUGUGGCCUGAGAAGUUGGGCAACAAGGAAUGAAGGACUCGGCGCCUCGAAUAUUCCCACUUCUUCCUCGCUAUACGUCUAUCGCUGCGCCCGUUCUCUCCCCUCAUCAGUUGACACACACAUCACCCCAGUUUUGUUUUAGAGAGAGUGACGAGACGCGCCGCCGGAGCAGCAGCUCGAUCGCAUCGUCCGAUGGCGGGCGAGCGCAACAACAUGCACGUGCUCUCGGCGCUGGACGGCGCCAAGACGCAGUGGUACCACUUCACGGCGAUCAUCGUCGCCGGCAUGGGCUUCUUCACCGACGCCUACGACCUCUUCUGCAUCUCCCUCGUCACCAAGCUGCUGGGGCGCAUCUACUACACCGUCGACGCCUCUCCCAACCCCGGCAGCCUGCCGCCGAACGUCUCCGCGGCCGUGAACGGCGUGGCCUUCGUCGGCACGCUGUCCGGGCAGCUCUUCUUCGGGUGGCUCGGCGACAAGGUCGGCCGGAAGAGCGUCUACGGCGUCACGCUGCUGCUGAUGAUCGUCUGUUCCAUCGCGUCGGGGCUGUCGUUCGGCCACUCGCCGACGGGUGUCAUGGCCACGCUCUGCUUCUUCCGCUUCUGGCUCGGCUUCGGCAUCGGCGGCGACUACCCGCUGUCCGCCACCAUCAUGUCCGAGUACGCCAACAAGAAGACACGCGGCGCCUUCAUCGCCGCCGUGUUCGCCAUGCAGGGGUUCGGCAUCCUCGCCGGCGGUGCGGUCGCGAUCGGCAUAACCGCGAUCUUCAAGAGCCAGUUCCCCGCGCCCCCGUACGCCGUCGAGCCCUUGGCGUCCACCCCGCCGCAGGCGGACCUGGUGUGGCGCAUCAUCCUCAUGUUCGGCGCGGUGCCCGCGGCGCUGACCUUCUACUGGCGGAUGAAGAUGCCGGAGACGGCGCGGUACACGGCGCUGGUCGCGAGGAACGCCGAGCGCGCCGCGGCGGACAUGUCCAAGGUGCUCCACGUGGAGAUUGCCAAGGAGCAGGCCGAGGUGGCGGCGCCGGCGGCGACCGGCGGCUGCCCCAAGUGCAGCCGGCCGUUCGGGCUCUUCUCCUGGGAGUUCGCGAGGCGGCACGGGGCCCACCUGGUGGGCACGGCGUCGACGUGGCUCCUCCUGGACAUCGCCUACUACUCGCAGAACCUGUUCCAGAAGGACAUCUUCAGCGCGGUGGGGUGGAUCCCGGCGGCGCGGACGAUGAGCGCGCUGGACGAGCUGUUCCACAUCGCGCGCGCCCAGACGCUGAUCGCGCUGUGCGGGACGGUGCCGGGGUACUGGUUCACGGUGGCGUUCAUCGACGUGCUGGGUCGGUUCAAGAUCCAGCUGGCCGGGUUCCUGAUGAUGGCGGCGUUCAUGUUCGGGCUGGCGGCGCCGUACGAGCAUUGGAGGAGCCCCGGGAACCAGACUGGGUUCGUGGUGAUGUACGCUUUCACCUUCUUCUUCGCCAACUUCGGGCCCAACGCGACGACAUUCAUCGUGCCGGCGGAGAUCUACCCGGCGCGGCUCCGCGCGACGUGCCACGGCAUCUCGGCGGCGUCGGGGAAGGUGGGCGCCAUCAUCGGGUCCUUCGGGUUCCUGUACCUGGCGCAGAGCCCGGACCCGGCCAAGACGGCGCACGGGUACCCGCCCGGCAUCGGCGUCCGCAUGUCGCUGUUCGCGCUCGCCGGGUGCAGCCUCCUGGGGUUCUUGCUCACGUUCCUGGUGCCGGAGCCCAAGGGGAAGUCGCUCGAGGAGAUGUCGCGCGAGAACGAGCCAGGCGCCGCCGAACCAGCCUCGCCGCUGGAUGCGUGCUAGAGCGGGUGAUUUUGGGUUAGUUGGUGCGUGCGUUUUGCCAUCGAGACGUGGCAGUCGUUUGAGUUGUAGUAGUAGAGAGCUAGGAAUUCAGUAGUCGUGUCGCAUGACUGGAAUAAAGUUGUGUGAGUUGAAUGGGGCGUUGAGAUGGAUGGAUGAGUCUGCCAACAAACCCGGAGGAUGCGGAGGAGUUAGUUGUUUGCCCGCGCGCGCGCCACGGUCUUCAGGAAUUUGCGGAUCUCCGGUUCCGCGCUGCAGGCCCAUUGGCCCAAGGACCGGAGGAACUCCGGCCUCUUCCUUCCGUGGGCUUCCAGUUGCAGCAAACUGCUGCUGGUGCCAUGCGCCAACAGAAAGAAGUCUGGCUGGCCCAUCUUACGCUGAACUCAUGCUUGUGAUUUGCUGCUGAUUACUCUCUAUCCUGGCGGAGCGGCGGUUGCCGCUGCUCCACUCUGAUUUCAUCACGCUUUUGAUUUGAGAAGGCACAGUAUGCCAACAUAAUCAGUACUGAAACAGUAAUGCAGUAACAGCAAGUCAAGGCGCCUACUGUUGAUGCAAUGCAGCUCGAACGAUAUGUACAGGGCCAGUAAUCCAUGUUUCCGAACUGCCAAAGACUAAAUGCGGGUCCGUUUCCUCUCAGCUAGUCUCGGGCUUUUACGGUUCUGAGCCUGUGUAAACCCAGCCAUCCCACUUUUUGACUUAAAUUGCACGAAUAUUUUGACUUAAUUUAGUGGAAUUCUUCUCACCCACCACACAAAGCCUCGGAGAUAACGAUUCGCGACCUGCAAAGGUCAGGUCAGCACACUGUCCCGGGAGAAAAUUCUUCCGGUUCCUUUCUGAUCAUGUCAUGACACCCUGUUUGUAUAGCACGGGUGCCACUGAAAAAGAACAGCACACAAACGUCAACAUGUUGUGCGCGCGCAAAUGAAAGAGCACACAGACGGAUGCAGCUGGAGUAUUCGAGCCUGAACCGCACUGCAGCAUGAACAGGUUAUUCAGCAGUCCGGGACAGUCGCAGCCGUGAUCAAAGCCGAUGCCGUCCACUGUCAUUCCCGUCUCGUGAACACGAGCAGAUGUCUACCACCGACGCACUCGGCCAAAAAAACCCCAGCAAACGCUACGGCGACGUCUCGGUGGCGCAUGAGCAUGACAUCUCAGUGCCCGUGCACGCUUUCGAUUCCGACUCGCAUCCAAAAACGCCAAUCUAGUUGGUUACCAGUUUACCACAGCGAAUCACCGCGACUUUUCAGUUUCAUCAACGGCGCAGCGCCGUGAGCGGUGAGCCACACACACAAAGCCGGGGACCGCGCGCUCGGGCCACCGGGCACCACCAUAACGAGCCGAGGCUUCCCUACGCCAUCCUGUGUCAGUUGUCGCCAACACUCCACAAGCGGCAGCCGCGACGGAAACGACUAGAGAACAAUGCUGCUUUCCGUCAGGGCGAUCUUCCGACGCCCACGUCCAAAUCAGCGGCGAUCAGGGGUAGCUGCUAGCUAGCUACGAGCCGCUCGAAAACGUUCGGACCGGAAGCGUGGCGUGCCUCCGGAGGGGGGCAACGCUUCACGUGCGACCCCAAUUCGAGACACGUGCCCAAGGCGAUGCAGGGAUCGUUAUGCUUGCUUGGUUAUGUCGUCAUCAUCCAUGCAUUCAUUGAUUUCCUUAGCGCGACUUGGUUGGUCUACGUUAGCCUUGGUUCGAUGGGUCGGAGGGAUUGCUAGUUCAGAUCCCAGCCCACACAGUGGUGUUAUUAAUUUCGAAAACCUUCACACACAGACGCAGUGCUGUGGAGACCGGACAAAAGGAAGUGAUGCAUGUCUCAUAGUCUCAUGCCGGGACAGCGACCCAAACAAAACAGUUUUGUAAGCAUCUGAUCAGGAAGGGGGAAAAAAAACGGCGUCUGCCUGGCCACGACGGGAGAUGGUUGGGCGCCAGCUAGUUGAGCUCACUAAUUAGGGUACUUAAUUCGAAGAGCCCCGUAAAUAAUUGGGGAGGGGGGCAAAAACAAAACAAUCUCGGCAGCAAGAGGGGAGGAGGGCACUUUUAAAGAAAGCUGGAGGCGGGGCUGCAGCCAGGCAAGAUCCAGAGCAGCAGCCGGGCCGGCCACAGCCAAGCCUCAAGCCUGGACCAUUUGGUUCGUGGUGGGGUGGGUACACUGGGUGGGCGUGCAUCUGAUGCGCGAGUUCAGCUGCAAAUCCAAAUCGGGGAGAUCAUUUAAUACGCGAUAUUCCGUUGCCAAGGCGGCAGCCACACACGAGCAAAGCGAAGCAUGGUGUUGGUGUGGCCAAGCCGCCAAGGCAGCAGAUAUUCCCUCCCCCGCCCGGCGGCCCUCCAGUUCAGCAGCGACCCGCGGCGCCUGUGUCGACAGACAGGCGGGCAGGCAUGUGAUUCACCGCCGGGGCAGAUCAGGGAUCGCUGGUACGAGUACUUAACCGCCUCCUUGGCAAUUCCAGUUGGGCUCGCGACGAAACUGCCUGGCUUUUGUUUUGGCCCCUCGACUUCGAUGGACAGCCCUGCUGCCUUCGCAGGAACGGUUUGGUCCUAUGGCCAGAGAUGGUCUCCCUACUUAUGUUCUGUUUAUUACUUUUCCUUUGAGCAAACGAUCAGAACAAAAAAUAGACUAGCGUGCGCUCAAAAUUAGCCUACUUGAAUUAUUAAAAAAGAACAAUCUACUUGGCAUUUCAUAAUCUCUCUCUCGGUUAAGCUUUCAGGAUUUGGAAUCAGGAGGCCUAGUAGGCUUCACAGGUAGUAGCACCCCCUACUUGGUACGGAUGCGUACAACGGCACCACAGGACUGAGAUCCAGAUCGGCAGAUCGCACGCCUCCUACGUUACCUGCUCCUUAAUAAUCUACUCGAAUAUCUGAACUAGCGGGUGUUUGAUCCACGUCGAAUAUUUAGAUACUAAUUAGGAGUAUUAAAUAUAGAUUAAUUACAACACUAAUUGCAUAAAUGAAGGCUAUAUGAAUCUAUUAAGUCUAAUUAAUCCAUGAUUUGAUCAUGUGGUACUACGAUAAAUAUGUGCUAAUCAUAAGUUAAUUAAACUUAAUAGAGUCCGUCUCCCGAAUUAGCCACACAACACGAGAGAGAGAGAGUGUGGAGCAGCAUCUUAAUUCGAAUAUCUGAAGAUUGCUCAAAACUGAAGACUCCAUUCUUUUUGCUCCUACCAUGCGGAACAGCAAGCAGUCAAGCACAUGCCACCGCCCGCCACCAAAGGCUCCUCUGACAGCGACCGAUCCUGCACGCCGCUGACACGAUCGAGGCCCCACCAUCCAUCGGCAUUGGCGCGCCACGCCACGACCCCAACCCCAACGGAUAUUUUCGCUCGGCUUGCGGCCGCAGAGGAUCACUAGGACUAGUGGCGCGCCGGCGAGGGGCCACGCCCGCGCGCGGAGAAAGCAAAGCCCCCGCCCCGGGCAGGUGUCAGCUUUUUCCGUGUCGCUCCCUGCGCAGGCGCGGCGGUGCAGAAAAAAAGAAAAGAGGUGGACGACGACGCCGAGGCCGAAACACGGGGGGCGCGCAUCGGCAUCCGUGACAUGCUCACGUGCCCGGCUUGUCCCCAUCCCCCGCCCACCCCUCUCCAUUUCAGUUCUGACAGUUUCUCAACAAAAAAAAUCACUCCUCCACUUUUUUUAACUCCGGCAGCCGAGCAGCUGACUGAUCAAACGCCUAAACAACAUUUCAGAUCCGAUCUCGGGGCCCACUUGCCAUAGGAGGACGAGAUCGUAGGCCCGGGGCUCGUGACGGUCACGCACCAGGCACCACUCUCUUUAUUUGGCUGGACCAUCUCUGCCUCGUGUUCGUGGCUGUGGCGCGGGUAAAAAUAAGGUGAAAUGUGAAACAGCGGGAAUGUUUGUCGUUUCUAACCUUUUUCACCGCGCCCUGGCCGGCCGGCGUGCGCGGCACGACGGAAGCAGAACACGAGCCGUGGGGCACGGAGCAGGUAAAACUGAUGAUGAUAAGGAUAUACUGACUGGUAUGAAAAGAGGGAGAUCGUGCCCUGUGCAGAUCUCACACCAUCACUAGUAGUAGCAGUAACAAUUAGGGAAUUCAAUUCCAAUGUAUUGUUGCAGACAAAACAUGGCUGACGAUGAUAGAUAGGUAGAUCGAUCCACCGAUCAAGCAAGCGAGAAAACAAAUUUAAAUCCCAACCUCGUCUCUCUCUCCAACCCGAUAAUCCUCCACCGAAAAAAUUAAACUGAAAGCUACGAACAAGAAGCAUGGUUCCUAGUAUCUUCUCUAACAGAUUCAAAU